GGGUUCUCCAGUCAUGGACGUACGGAGCAACUAUGCCAACGAUGAAGAGAUAAGAAACCUGAAAAGAAAAGUGGAAGAACUCGAUGACAAAGACGCUGUCAUAAAGGAGCAGAUGGAGAUAGAGUCUGCUGCUUCCUCACUUCGGAAGAAGCCGAGGAUAUUGGUUGAUAGAUGGCUAAAAGAGACAGAAAGAGCAAGAAAUAAUUUCCAAAUAAUUGGCCAAGCCAAUGCGGAAACUUUGCCACCAAAGGAACAGGUGGAGAAAUUGACGAGAGAAGUGGAAGAACUCAUAGGAAAAACGCUUCCACAACCACUGCUCAUAGAAGAGAGAGAUGCCAAAGGAGUCAAACUUUUGGAACGAAAGUUAACAGGUGAAGGGAUUCAUAGGAACAUUGAGUUGAUUUGGGACCGUCUGAAGGAGAAUCAUGCAUGCAAAUUGGGUAUUUAUGGAAUGGGUGGUGUUGGGAAGACAACUAUUAUGAUGCACAUACAUAAUAGACUUCUCGAAGAUGCAACCUUCGAUGGUGUGGUUUUUAUCACUGUGUCUCAAGAUUUCAGCAUUAAGAAGUUGCAGAGUGAUAUUUGGAAGGCAUUAAAAUGUGGCGUUAUGGAGGAUGAGGAUGAGAAGAAACAAGCAGCGAUAUUGUCGGAGCAUUUAGAAAGAAAGAAGAAUUGUGUAUUGAUUCUUGAUGAUGUGUGGGAACGUCUUGAUCUUGAAGAGGUGGGAAUCCCUGUUAGAGCUGAUGGAUGUAAGUUGAUCUUAACCAGUCGAUCCUAUUAUGUGUGCUGCCAGAUGCAAUGUCAAGAGAAGAUAAAAAUUAAACCUCUAUCUCAAAUAGAAGCCGAGAGUCUAUUUUUGGAGGAGCUUGGAUCCGAAGUUCCACUUAAUUCGGAAACUGAAGCAAUUGUGAAGUCCAUUGUUGAAGAAUGUGCUGGAUUGCCAAUUGGAGUCAUCACGAUGGCAAGAAGCAUGCGAGGAGUGACUGAUGUGUUUGAAUGGAGGGAUUCCUUGGUUAAAUUGGAAGAAUCAAGUAAGGGGCAAACAGAUAUGGAGAAGAAGGUCUUAAUGAAUCUAAAAUUUAGUUAUGAUCGCCUUGGUAAUCCUGAUGUGCAACAAUGCUUCUUAUCUUGUGCACUUUAUCCAGAAGAUGAAUUGAUUGAUAAGUUCGAGUUGGUAGAAUUCUUUAUUGACCAAGGAUUGAUUGGUGGAUUGAAUGCGUGGACAGAACAAUAUGAUAGAGGCCUCACCAUAUUGAACAAACUACGAAAUGUUUGCCUAUUGGAAGAUCAUGGGAGCGAGACGAAGAUGCACGAUUUGAUUAGAGACAUGGCAUUGCACAUCAUGAGUGCAACUUCCAUUGUAAAGGCAAGAAAGUGGUUGGAAAGUAUUCCAUCUGAGGAAUAUUGGACAGAUGCUUUGGAGAAAGUUUCUCUGAUGGGAAGCAAAAUAAGUGAAAUGUCACCAAAUUGUCCUAAACUAUCAACUUUACUACUGAAUGGAAGCUUGUUAGAGGAUGCGGUCCUCCCUGGUUCUUUCUUCAAACAGUUAUGUGGGCUAAAGGUCCUAAACCUGAGUGACUGUGAACUAACGGAACUUCCAAAUUCCAUCUCAGAUUUGGUAAACUUGAGGGCACUAUUGCUUAGAAGGUGUCGGGAAUUGUGCCAUAUUCCUUAUUUAGGCAAGCUCACAUCUUUAAGGAAGCUGGACGUUAGUGACUGUUUUGAGCUUGAAGAAGUGCCCGAGGGUCUGGAAAUGUUGGUGAACUUGAGAUACCUUGACCUAUGUUUUUCAUUGACCGUUGAAUUACCUAAAAUAAUACUGGGGGGUUUGCUAAACUUGCAGCAUCUUAAAGUUUAUUUUCUAGAUGGACAAGACAUGACAAAAUUGAGGGCACUGGAGACACUCAAAUGCUUUUUUGAAGAUGCGAAUGAUUUCAAUAAGUGUGUGAGGGUUAUUGAACAGAGUAACCUUCUCUGCUAUUAUUAUCUUUGUUAUUAUAUCGACAAAAAAUAUCAUGAUGAGGAAGAAUGUGAUAUUACUCAGGACAGGGAAGUCAAAAUUUGGGGGUGGGAUCAUGCUAUUGUGAGUGUGGGAGGGGAAUGCACCGGCAUUUUUAUUUUGAUUCCCCAAGACGUGCAGAAAAUGACGAUUUGUUGGAACGGUAUAACAAAUUUGUCUAGCAUAGGUCCGCUUGAAUACCUUGAGGAGCUAGAUAUAGAAGACUUAAACAACUUAGGGGUGCUCUGUGGAGGAGAAGACAAAGAAGUAAUCGACAUCUUUGCCCCAGCCCUUGCGCCUCUCCUCUUCUCGAGCCUUAGGGUUUUGAAAAUAUGGAGUUGUCCGGAACUGAAGUAUGUCUUUGGGCAUGGGUCUAAAUCCAACCUUCCACAUCUACGAGAGAUUGAAAUAGGGGGAUGUGAGGAGACGGUGGGGAUAAUAGCAGCAGUUACAUCCCCACCACCACAUCCGCUCCCAUUUUUCCCUAGUCUGGAACAGAUUAGCAUUACAGGCUGUUACGAGAUGAAGAGAGCGGUGGAAUCCGAGUGGAUGCCCCACUUCCCUAAUCUAAGAAGAAUCAAAGUAUCCGGAUGUGAGAUGGAGGAGAUAAUCGGAGGUCCUCCCCCAUACUCGCCGGAUGAACAGAUUUCUCUCGAAUCUCUUGAGGUAAGCUAUUGCGAUAAAAUGAGAAAGCUGCUUACGUAUGAGUGGCUGUUCCAUCUUCGAAAUCUUCAAAGUAUCUCUGUCACUUACUGCAAAGAAAUGGUGGAGUUGAUAAGCGGAGCGGGACAAGGCCAAGAAGGAAGCAUAACGACUUCUGUAAACAACACUCCUUCCUCCUUCCAGCCUUCUUCAAUUUCUCUCCCAAAGCUAGAGUGUUUGGAGCUACGCUAUCUACACCAGCUGAAGAGCAUAUGCGAAGUCCCAAUAAGCUGCGAUUUCAUGAAAAGAUUGGACGUGUGCAGAUGCCCAGAACUGAAGAGGAUUCCUUUGCAACUGCGAUUGUGUGAAAUUGAGGAGCUUCCGUAUAUUUUGGUGGAAGAUGAGGAAAAGUGGAAGACGUUGGUGUGGGAUCAUCCCAAUGCUCAGGCUAUUCUUCGACCUUAUCUCCGAAAAGGGCCACGCUGGCCUCCAAAUGCUAUAGGUUAAUGAGUUUAAUUGAUAUACGAUUGCUUCACUUCUUAAAAGUCCUUUCAAAGAUAUAGCUUUUCUGUCUAUAUAGUCAUGCAGCUCUAAUAGUGGCCUUCUGUAGUACUGAACACCAAGUGAAAGCAUCUCCUGCGACUCCACUCUUGAAGAAAGAACCCUGCUGCUCGACCAUGCUUUCCUGCAAACUUGACUCAGGUUGCCAUAUGAAUUGACUUUUUUUGUGUGGCCCUGCUUUGUCUAUUUUGAAUGCGAUCGCAUGUUUCAUUGACUACUGGAAAUGAGUCUAUCUGGUCGAUAUUUCAGGUUAGUCAAAAAGCAAUGGAUCUGAAGAUUUGGGAAGCCAAGGGAAUAACAAAGUCUGUUUCCUAUCUUGUCUUAUAACUGAAAGGACAAUUUAUUAUCAUGGAUUGAAUUUCUUGGGAUAUUAGCCUUCUAAGAAAAGAGAGAAUUUUGUGCAGCACUACCUUUAAUCUGUUUUUGUUUAAAAAGGAUUUCAAAUAUGAUAUUGCUUUAACUUGUCGAUCGAAAAUAUUGUGUCAAAUACGCUGCUUUGCUCUGUUGGAUCAGAGCAACAUGACCCCAAUUAAACUUGUUUCGACGUUAAACUAUCGGGUAUAGAAUACUUGAUCUGCUUAGUAGUUGUAUCAUAUCUGGAAACGUAGGCCGGGAAGUUUUCNNNNNNNNNNNNNNNNNNNNNNNNNNNNNNNNNNNNNNNNNNNNNNNNNNNNNNNNNNNNNNNNNNNNNNNNNNNNNNNNNNNNNNNNNNNNNNNNNNNNUACUUUGAAUUAGAAAUGUAAAAAGACGAAGAAGAAAGAAUUGCACAGCUAUCACCCUCUUUAAAUGCCUCGAAGUUGUGGAUAGAUGGAGAACCCUACAGCUUCAGCUCAAGUAACCAAAAAUCAGAGCAGUAACCACUAGCAAGUCAAUGGAAAAAAGGCCAGCUUAUAGGAUGUGGCACUUUUGAAAGUGUUUACAUUGCAAGCAACCAGUAAGUUAGCUCUGGGAAUCUUAGACAUGUUCCAUUUUUUUAGAUAUCCAGUCAGCUAAACUUUGACAUAUUAAGUGACAGAAAAACCAGAUCUCUAUGUGCAGAGAAGGAGUUUGAGCUAUUGCGUAAUGAUCCAAAUUUAGCUGAGUGCAUCGAGCAGUUAAAGCAGGUAAUGUUUUUGUUAUGCUCUGGGAUCCAAUCUAUCCUCUCAUCCGAUCUAAAUAUGCUGGGAGGAAACUUUCUUUCAUCAUUUCCAAGUAAUUGAUUGCUUUGUUACUACAGGAAAUUCAGGUACUUAGCCAGCAUAGACAUCCGAACAUUCUGCAGUAUUAUGUAAGGGAAAUUGUGAGUCACAUUUCCACAGCAUCUAUGCGUCCCAACUCAAUGGGCGUUCAUUAUUUGACUAACCAAAAUUUCAACAUAUUCAUACAUACUCAGGUUGAGGAUUGGCGUUACAUAUAUCUAGAAUAUGCACAUCACGAUUCAAUAGACAAGUAUAUCCAGGAGCGUCUUGGGACCCUAACAGAAUCGGUUGUCAGCACUUUACCCGCUAUAUUGUGGCUGGAUUGGCUUCCCUGCAUGUUUUUUUUGGUAAAGAGGCUUCCCUGCAUGUUAACAACUCCAUACAUGGGUAAUUUUAAACCAUUGAUCAAGCAUCAUGAGAUGACUUGCAUAUUGGAUUAGGAUGAUUGGACCUUCUUCUUUGUGCCCCCAGACCUGUUAAAACUAUUUGGCUUGUGCAGGGAUUUAAAGGGAGCUAAUUUAUUUGUGGAUGCAUCUGGGAUAUUCAAACUUGCUGACUUUGGGAUUGCUAAACAUGUGAGUUUUUACCUCUUCACCGCAAGACUACUCAGUGCAUGUAGAAAUUCCUUGCUGAUCUGUGGUACAUUCGAAUGUGAAGUCAGGGACCCAGGGUGACUGCAUACUUCUCGUUAUUGGUUUGUGGCAUUUCAUAUGUGCAUAAAUCUAUCAUAGAUGGAUGAAAUGUUAUUAAGUAAUUUUCUUCACUUUUUUUCCCAUUGUUUCAGGUAAAGUUACCAUGUUGCAUGAACGGGAAAAGAUUUCUUGCUGUAAAUAGAUGCCGAAACCUAAUGAGAGUUCCCUUUCUACUGGUUUCUAAAAAGUUCCUAAGAGCGGUAGUGAAUAGAACGCAAUACCUUUGGCAAAAGGUUGUGGUGUUGUUUUUGCUGCUCCUCUGCAUUCCAAAAUAAGGAUAGAACUUAGUCAGAGUAAGUAAGGGCCUCCUUCCUAACAUGGGGUAAAUAAAAGUUUAUUAAUCCAUAGAAUGGAAUUCUGGACAGUAGCCAAGGUGUUGUUGCUCUCUUUUUGAGUUCUCAAGCAUUUGCUGAGGCCAUGUUGUUGAUUGCUUCAUGGUCCUUUUUCUCAGUAAUGAGCUAACAUGAGUUGAAAGUGGUUGAUUCAGUUAUCAAUAUGAUGUAUCUAUGUCUAUAAAGAUGUUGCUAUUUUAUCCGGUGUUCCAUGAACACACCAAGUAGUAUUCAGCUUUACUAAUGCCGUACCAUUUCUUAGCUAACCGGACAAGCAGCUUGCCGCUCUUUGAAGGGAAGUCUAAACUAGAUGGCUCUAGAGGUACUCUGCUUUUGUUAACGUUAAUGCGGCAUACUCAGAGGUCCUCCCCCAUACUCGCCGGAUGAACAGAUUUCUCUCGAAUCUCUUGAGGUAAGCCUUUGCGAUAACAUGAGAAAGCUGCUUACGUAUGAGUGGCUGCUCCAUCUUCGAAAUCUUCAAAGUAUCGAGGUCACUGAGUGCAAAGGAAUGGUGGAGUUGAUAAGCGGAGCGGGACAAGGCCAAGAAGGAAGCAUAACGANNNNNNNNNNNNNNNNNNNNNNNNNNNNNNNNNNNNNNNNNNNNNNNNNNNNNNNNNNNNNNNNNNNNNNNNNNNNNNNNNNNNNNNNNNNNNNNNNNNNNNNNNNNNNNNNNNNNNNNNNNNNNNNNNNNNNNNNNNNNNNNNNNNNNNNNNNNNNNNNNNNNNNNNNNNNNNNNNNNNNNNNNNNNNNNNNNNNNNNNNNGGAGCUUCCGUAUAAAACCUGUUCAUUCCCAUUUCCAGCAGCAGGCGAGUGCCCUUGUUUCUCUAGGAAUUGGGUUUCUGCCUUCAACGAGAGGAAGAGUCUUUGCUCGAUCCCUGGAUGCUGACUGGUGCUUCAGAUUCUCAAGAACAGCUUCUUAGCUCUACUUCUAUUUGUGCAUCUUUGCUACUUGCAUGCAUCUGAAUCUUCUUUUUCUGUCCUAACCGGUAUGUUGCUUCGUCCUCAUCUUUGCCAUUUUCCAUUUGUAAGAAUCAAAUAGAGACUCCAACUGAACAUCCUUAUUUGCCUGGAUCAAAUAUGUGCCCACUUAACAAGUAGAUCUGAUGGAUUCUAUGCGAAAUGAAGGGUUAAAUGACCUGAAUGUAGGUGGGUGGACUUAACUGUGAGAUGCAAUAAACUUCUCGAAGAGAGACCAAGAAAUAGAGAGAGAAGGGGCGAGAAGAGAAAGAGAGGAAGAGCGACAACGGUGGAUUGCAGCCCGUCGAAAGGGUCGUGCUACGCCACAAAUCUCCAUUUUCGAACACUAGACAAGGUUGUUCUAGCUCUAUUCCUCACGAACUUGGGAUUUUUGUUUGUAAAGUUAAUAUCCGGAUCUAUUUUGUAUUUUGCUUUGCUGGCAACGAUUCGGUCAAAAUCCAACGAUAUUUCGAUUCCCCACAUCUCCUUGUAAUUCUAGAAUUAAUUAUUUUAUAGAGAAUGUAGUCCGCAAUUCCCAAGUUGUCUUUGAGUUGAUCCGGUGCUUCUUGUGUCAAAAACAGGAGAUUAUUCUUGGGUCGUUGAAUAUAAUUUGCAGUUUGGCUCUCCUGCUUUAAUACUUGUGAUGCUGUUAUUUGCUUGNNNNNNNNNNNNNNNNNNNNNNNNNNNNNNNNNNNNNNNNNNNNNNNNNNNNNNNNNNNNNNNNNNNNNNNNNNNNNNNNNNNNNNNNNNNNNNNNNNNNAUGCUAUGCGCGCUGAGAAAUAUUCAAAUGAUCUCUACGUUAUAUGAUCAAGUGCACUUUCUUUGCCCGCAGGUUGAUAAUCAAGACGGCAAGAUGCCGCGACUUGAAGAUAUAGCCUGGAAAUUCGUGAUUAGACAGGGCAAGAAAUGGCGUUGUCCUUACUGCAAAAUUGAAUACUCUGGAUCAGUCACAAGAGUGAAAAGUCACUUUCUUAAACAACCAAAAGAAGGGAUUGUCUCUUGCACAAAAGUGCCGGAGCACAUAAGCACGCUAAUGGAAUUGUUACAGAGUCAGGUGGCUUUAGCACUUGUGGUAGCUAUAUUAUGUGCUUGAGAAUAAUGCUAUGCGUGCUAAGAAGAUUUAUAAAAAAUGGGGAUAAUAUAUGAUAGGGGUGCGCUCUAUUUGCUUGCAGGUUGAUAACAAAGAUGAUAUAGCCUGGAAAUUCGUCGAUAGACUGGGGGAAAACAAAUGGCGUUGUCAUCACUGCAGGGAAGAAUUCUUUGGAGACCUUACAGGAGUGAGAGGUCACUUGCUUGAAGCCCCAUAUAAGGGGAUUUCCAUUUGCACAGAAGUGCCAGACCACGUAAGAACGCUAAUGCGGUCUUUACUCGAUGAGGUGGCUGAAGGAGGGAGCAGAGACUUGGCUGAAGAACAGAGCAGAGAUGCGGAGCCACAGUCGCGUGACGUGCUGUCUCCAGCUUUUCCUCCGUCAUCACAAAGCUCGGAGAGGGCGACUGACAUGGAAAACUCCAACUAUGACCUAGAGUGUCGUUUUCAUGAGACUUCAGCAAUGCCGUCACUGGCACAAAAUAUCCUUGGUAUGUUCAUGUGUUUCUAUACAUGCAUCUAGGCAUGGAGAAAAAACAUCCAUUAUAUUUUUCAAUGCAAACACGUCGGGUUUUUUAACCGAAGUGGAGACUUUUAAACAUCUCCAAUAAAAACGAUCUUUCUACGGAACUUUACAAAUGUGAAGUAAGUCAAUUACCUAUUCCUUAAUAACAGUGCAUUGUCCACUGGACUCACUGGAUCUAAUAAACUAACCAUAGAAGGCAUUUUCUCGUGUUCCAAUCAACCAUAUCCUAAUUUUGAUGAACAACACACAGGUGAAAGCAUGUCAUGUUUGCCAAUGACUUUAGCGGGAGUGGAAUCGUUUCUUUUUGAUUUGCCAGAACGGUCACAAUGUUCCAUUCAAUCUCAAAUGCAAUUGAAUGAUCAGCAGACUCCAGCAGGGACAUUAGCAUCCCAUUAUGAUCAAUUACCUGCUGCAGGUAAGUCAAAUUGCUUGCGGGAUAGUAAUCAGCACUCUCAAUUGCAAAUUCCAGUGGACAUAGAUCCCUCAAUUGCAUCACAGCAUACGAUCGACUCUCACGUUAUUUGGGUAACAAUCCUUGGUUUGCCAAUUCCAGAGGUGGCAGCAGAUACAAUAGGCCCAUCAUCAUCAUCACAAGAUGUGUCUUGAUUAAUCUAAAUAGAUACUAUCAUUUCGUUAGAUCCGUAAAUAUCCUCAAAUUAUUUUAUUGAAAUUUAACAUAUGUAUUUUUGUAAAAUAGAUAUGAACAGGGGUUCUCCAAUCAUGAACGUACGGAGGACACCACAACCUCGCAGAUGGAUGGAACAGGUGGUGCAGGAGGACAGGGCGGUCGACAUCGCAAACCUCCCAUCGGAUGGUGCAACAAAUCACUCUAUCGCAUCUCCCCUGCCAAAUUCAUUGCUUGAUGAUGGGCCAAAUGAACUGUUGCCCAUUUUACCUGGGUAUCUAACAUUAAAUCCACAACGGUAUCAAUGUGCGUCAUUGCCAGCACAAAACCACCAGCUCCUUGAUAAUACUUUUCAGAAUGAGUCACGGGGGUCCAUUUUGCCUGGUCUCAUUGCAUCAGAUGCUCCACUCACUAACGUGGCCACAACAAACACUGCCCGGCAUUUUAAUCAACCAGAUCAGACCUUUCACAGGCAGUGUGAAGGUGGCACUGGCUUAUCUCCUCUACCGCUUUCCAUGGACAUAGAGCCACCUCUUCCAUCACGACCUUUCAAUGGACCUCCUAUUAUUGAGCCAUUUAAUUCCCCUCCGCAGAUUCCAGAGGACAUCUUAAACACAACUGGCCCAUCAACACCGGAAGGUAUAAUACCAUCGAUCUAUUAAAUGGGUCUCGAUAACGCUUAUUAACAAAAUCCAUAUUAUAUUUAUCAUUCAUGUGGUCUCUUGUAAACCCCAUGUUGCUUCUAUGGUGAGUAAGAAUGUUUCAAUUGGAGUCUAAUGCAUGAAGUUGUGGCUUAUAAAUUAGUGAUGCCAGAAGGUGCACCAGCAGGGACAUCAUCAUUCCAGUAUGAUCAAUUGGUGUAGGUAAUUCAAAUCUGGAUUGCAAUCAGCCACGUAUAUCUAGUGUAACAAGUGUAGCCAACACUGUCCCGCAUUCUAACCUAUCAUUCGAAGCUGCAAUGAAGAAUGUGGAACUAAAACCAGUUCGUUUCCCCUGCGAGAUUCGAGGGGCAUAUGUCCCAUCACUGCAUUACGGCCUAUUAGGUGCCCUCACAUCGAGGCAACACUUGUCAAUUUGCAAGUUCUGGAGAAUGGAGCAAAUAUGGCUGGCCCGUAACCAUCACAAGUGACUGUCUUGAUUUACCUAAAUAGAUAGUCAUUCCAAAUUAAUCAUAGGUAUUCCAACUCGAGUGAGCGUUGAUGUUUUCAUUGCAGAAGUGAUCCUUCUUUGUAUUAUUAACUCUCUUUUAGUAUGACUCAAAUUCGUCUAUUUCCAUAUCUAAUCUUUUCUCAAUUACCGUAGUAUCAUUGCAUGUUAUGUUUGUCCAACAUCACUUACUUUACGGCAUGGUUUUUUCAUCAAAAUAUUUUACUUAUCUGCAUGUUGAUUUUCCUUGUGGAUGUCUUUUGUGACCAAGUUCUAUGUUGUUUUACCUGUGUGCAUGGACACUCCAAUAUCUUAGUGCAACCAGCUCUGGUGCCCCCUCAACAUCAAAGUGUUCCACAUCAAGCUCCAAAUAAUACUCCUUCAGCUCCUCAGAUUCAACGUCGUGGAACAGGUCUGAUAGUCCCAUCGUCAUUGCCAGGUAUAUAGUUAUUUACCUAAAUUAAUCCUUAUGCAUCGAUCACCAUGUUAUGUUAUUAAGGGAAGCAAGAAUGCUAUAAUGAGACCGAUGGAUUUAAUUGCAGAAUUAGAUAUGAGCAAGGGUGUGCCACUAACGAGUCACACAAACAUAAACAACAACUUUGAAAAGAGUAGAGCUUUGAAAAGAAAAAUAAAGCAACUCUACAGUAGAGAAGCUGACAUAAGGGAUGAGUUAGAAUUUGCCGGGUCUCUAUCACUAAAGAAGCAGAAAAAGGAAGUUGAGAAUUGGUUGGCGGAUGUGGAGCAGCUCAGAAAAGAUUUUCAGAGUAUUGAAGCAACAAGUGAGGAUUGUUUGCCGUCACACCAGCAGGUGGAUACACUGACGCAACAAGCAGAAGACCUUAUGAAACAAGGCGAAUUCCCAAAAGGACUAUUUGGGGCGAGAAAGACCAAAGUCAAUAAGUUGAUAGAACGAAAGUUGGUGGGAGAGGCAUUUAAGAGAAAUACAACAAAGAUUUUGGAGUACUUAGUAGGGAGUCAAAUAUCCCGACUAGGCAUUUAUGGAAUGGGGGGUAUUGGUAAAACCACUCUUAUGAAGCACAUACAUAAUAGACUUCUCGAAAAAGCAAAUCAUGAUAAUGUGUUGUGGAUCACCGUGUCACAAGAUUUUAACACACAAAAGUUGCAGAACGACAUUUGGGAGGCACUAAAUUUAGGCACACUACAAGAAAAGGAGGUGGGGCAACGAGCAGCAAUGUUGUCCGCUGUUUUAACCGAAAGAGAGAAGUUGAUCAUAAUCCUUGAUGAUGUGUGGGAAGAUUUCAAUCUUGAAGAGGUGGGAAUCCCUGUUAGAGAAGAUGGAAAUAAGUUGGUCUUAACCACUCGAUCCCUUGAAGUAUGCCGCCGGAUGCAAUGUCAAGAAAUAAAAAUCGAACCUCUAUCUCUAGAAGAAGCUGAGGAUUUAUUUUUUGAGGAGCUUGGAUCCAAAGUGGCCCUUAAUUUGGAAACAAUUGUGAAGUCCAUUGUUAAAGAAUGUGCAGGCUUGCCACUUGGAGUCAUCACGAUGGCAGCAAGCAUGCGAGGAGUGACGAAUGUGUCUGAAUGGAGAGAUUGCUUGGAGAAAUUGAAAGAAUCAGAUGCCCCAACGGAGAUGGAAAAGAGAGUCUUAAAGCAACUAGAAGUCAGCUACGAUCGCCUUGAGAAACGUGAAGUUCAACAGUGUUUCUUAUCUUGCGCACUUUAUCCAGAAGAUAGAUUGAUUGAUAAGGUCGAGUUGAUAGAAUUCUUUAUUGACCAAGGACUGAUUUGUGGAUUGAAUAUGAAUACGAGGGAGAAAGAAUAUGAUAGAGGCUUCACCAUAUUGAGCAAACUGGAAAAUGUUUGCCUAUUGGAAGAUUAUGGAGAAAACAUGAAGAUGCACGAUUUGAUUAGAGACAUGGCAUUGCACAUCAUGAGUGCAACUUCCAUUGUAAAAGCAGGAAAGUGGUUGGAAAGUAUUCCAUCUGAGGAAUAUUGGACAGAUGCUUUGGAGAAAGUUUCUCUGAUGGAAAACGAAAUAAGUGAAAUUCCAUUGAACAUGUCACCAAAUUGUCCUAAACUAUCAACUUUACUACUGAAUGGAAGCUUGUUAAAGGAUGCGGUCCUCCCUGGUUCUUUCUUCAAACAGUUAUGUGGGCUAAAGGUUCUAAACCUGAGUGACUGUGAACUAAUAGAACUUCCAAAUUCCAUCUCAAAUUUGGUAAACUUGAGGGCACUAUUGCUUAGAGAGUGUCGGGAAUUGUGCCAUAUUCCUUAUUUAGGGAAGCUCACAUCUUUAAGAAAGUUGAACGUUGGUGGCUGUUCUAAGCUUAAAGAAGUGCCCGAGGGUCUGGAAAUGUUGGUGAACUUGAGAUACCUUGACCUACGUUUUUCAUCGACCGUUGAAUUACCUGAAAGAGUACUAGGGGGUUUGCUAAACUUGCAGCAUCUUAAAGUUUAUUUUCUAGAUGGACAAGACAUGACAAAAUUGAGGGCACUGGAGACACUCAAAUGCUCUUUUGAAGAUGCGAAUGAUUUCAAUAAGUGAACAGAGUAACCCUCGCUGUUAUUAUUAUCUCGGCAUGGCUCAAAAAGAUAUUUCUUAUUAUCGUGAAGCAUGUUAUUCUACUCAUGAGGAAUACCGUGAUAUUACUCAAAUUGAGAAUCGGAAGAGGGAAGUCAAAAUUUGGGGGUGGGAUCAUGCUAUUGUGAGUGUGGGAGGGGAAUGCACCGGCAUUUUUAUUUUGAUUCCCCACACCCGUGCAGAAAAUGACAAUGAUUGGUUGCGACGGUAUAACAAAUUUGUCUAGCAUAGGUCCGCUUAAAUACCUUGAGGAUCUAUGUAUAGGAUACUCAGAAAACUUAGGGAUGCUCUGUGGAGGAGAAGACGAAGAAGUAAUCGACAUCCUUGCCCCAGCCCUUGCGCCUCUCCUCUUCUCGAGCCUUAGGGUUUUAAAAAUAUAUGAUUGUCCAAAACUGAAGUAUCUCUUUGGGCAUGGGUCUAAAUCCAUCCUUCCGCAUCUACGAGAGAUUGAAAUAUAUGGAUGUGAGAAAAUGGUGGGGAUAAUAGCAGCAGUUACAUCCCCACCACCACAUCCGCUCCCAUUUUUCCCUAGUCUGGAACAGAUUAGCAUUAGUCGCUGUAACAAGAUGAAGAGAGCGGUGGAAUCUGAGUGGAUGCCCCACUUCCCUACUCUGAGAGGAAUCACAGCAAUUUAUUGUGAGAAGAUGGAGGAGAUAAUCGGAGGUCCUCCCCCAUACUCGCCGGAUGAACAGAUUUCUCUCGAAUCUCUUGAGGUAAGCCGUUGCUAUAACAUGAGAAAGCUGCUUACGUAUGAGUGGCUGCUCCAUCUUCGAAAUCUUCAAAGUAUCGUGGUCAGUCACUGCAAAGGAAUGGUGGAGUUGAUAAGCGGAGCGGGACAAGGCCAAGAAGGAAGCAUAACGACUUCUGUAAACAACACUCCUUCAUCCUUCCAGCCUUCUUCAAUUUCUCUCCCAAAGCUAGAGUGUUUGAAGCUACGCUAUCUACACCAGCUGAAGAGCAUAUACAAAGCCCCAAUAAGCUGCGAUUCCAUGAAAAGAUUGAAAGUGUACGGAUGCCCAGAACUGAAGAGGAUUCCUUUGCAACUGCCACUGCGUGAAAUUGAGGGAGCUUCCGCAUAUUUAUGAUGGAAGAUGAGGAAAAGUGGAAGACGGCUGAUGUGGGGAUCAUCCCGGAUGCUCAGGCUAUUCUUUCAACCUUAUCUCCAAAAAGGGUCAAAUGCUAUAGGUUAAUGAGUUUAAUUGGAUAUACGAUUGCUUCACUUCUUUAAAAGUCCUUUCAAAGAUAUAGCUUUUCUGUCUAUAUAGUCAUGCAGCUCUAAUAGUGGCCUUCUGUAGUACUGAACACCCAGGUGAAAGCAUCUCCUGCGACUUCACUCUUUGAAGAAGAACCCUGGCUGCUCGACCAUGGCUUUCCUACCAACUUGGACCUCAGGUUGCCAUAUGAACUGACUUUUUUUGUGUUGCCAUGCUUUGUCUAUUUUGAAUGCGAUCGCAUGUUUCAUUGACUACUGGAAAUGAGUCUAUCUGGUCGAUAUUUCAGGUUAGUCAAAAAGCAAUGGAUCUGAAGAUUUGGGAAGCCAAGGGAAUAGCAAAGUCUGUUUCCUAUCUUGUCUUAUAACUGAAAGGACAAUUUAUUAUUAUGGAUUGAUUUUCUUGGGAUAUUAGCCUUCUAAGAAAAGAGAGAAUUUUGUGCAGCACUACCUUUAAUCUGUUUUUGUUUAAAAAGGAUUUCAAAUAUGAUAUUGCUUUAACUUGUCGAUCGAAAAUAUUGUGUCAAAUACGCUGCUUUGCUCUGUUGGAUCAGAGCAACAUGACCCCAAUUAAACUUGUUUCGACGUUAAACUAUCGGGUAUAGAAUACUUGAUCUGCUUAGUAGUUGUAUCAUAUCUGGAAACGUAGGCCGGGAAGUUUUCUUUUCACCCUUUGUCAUACUUUGAAUUAGAAAUGUAAAAAGACGAAGAAGAAAGAAUUACACAGCUAUCACCCCUCUUUAAAUGCCUCGAAGUUGUGGAUAGAUGGAGAACCCUACAGCUUCAGCUCAAGUAACCAAAAAUCAGAGCAGUAACCACUAGCAAGUCAAUGGAAAAAAGGCCAGCUUAUAGGAUGUGGCACUUUUGAAAGUGUUUACAUUGCAAGCAACCAGUAAGUUAGCUCUGGGAAUCUUAGACAUGUUCCAUUUUUUUAGAUAUCCAGUCAGCUAAACUUUGACAUAUUAAGUGACAGAAAAACCAGAUCUCUAUGUGCAGAGAAGGAGUUUGAGCUAUUGCGUAAUGAUCCAAAUUUAGCUGAGUGCAUCGAGCAGUUAAAGCAGGUAAUGUUUUUGUUAUGCUCUGGGAUCCAAUCUAUCCUCUCAUCCGAUCUAAAUAUGCUGGGAGGAAACUUUCUUUCAUCAUUUCCAAGUAAUUGAUUGCUUUGUUACUACAGGAAAUUCAGGUACUUAGCUAGCAUAGACAUCCGAACAUUCUGCAGUAUUAUGUAAGGGAAAUUGUGAGUCACAUUUCCAUAGCAUCUAUGCGUCCCAACUCAAUGGGCGUUCAUUAUUUGACUCACCAAAAUUUCAACAUAUUCAUACAUACUCAGGUUGAGGAUUGGCGUUACAUAUAUCUAGAAUAUGCACAUCACGAUUCAAUAGACGAGUAUAUCCAGGAGCGUCUUGGGACCCUAACAGAAUCGGUUGUCAGCACUUUACCCGCUAUAUUGUGGCUGGAUUGGCUUCCCUGCAUGUUAACAACUCCAUACAUGGGUAAUUCUAAACCAUUGAUCAAGCAUCAUGAGAUGACUUGCAUAUUGGAUUAGGAUGAUUGGACCUUCUUCUUUGUGCCCCCAGACCUGUUAAAACUAUUUGGCUUGUGCAGGGAUUUAAAGGGAGCUAAUUUAUUUGUGGAUGCAUCUGGGAUAUGCAAACUUGCUGACUUUGGGAUUGCUAAACAUGUGAGUUUUUACCUCUUCACUGCAAGACUACUCAGUGCAUGUAGAAAUUCCUUGCUGAUCUGUGGUACAUUCGAAUGUGAAGUCAGGGACCCAGGGUGACUGCAUACUUCUCAUUAUUGGUUUGUGGCAUUUCAUAUGUGCAUAAAUCUAUCAUAGAUGGAUGAAAUGUUAUUAAGUAAUUUUCUUCACUUUUUUUCCCAUUGUUUCAGGUAAAGUUACCAUGUUGCAUGAACGGGAAAAGAUUUCUUGCUGUAAAUAGAUGCCGAAACCUAAUGAGAGUUCCCUUUCUACUGGUUUCUAAAAAGUUCCUAAGAGCGGUAGUGAAUAGAACGCAAUACCUUUGGCAAAAGGUUGUGGUGUUGUUUUUGCUGCUCCUCUGCAUUCCAAAAUAAGGAUAGAACUUAGUCAGAGUAAGUAAGGGCCUCCUUCCUAACAUGAGGUAAAUAAAAGUUUAUGAAUCCAUAGAAUGGAAUUCUGGACAGUAGCCAAGGUGUUGUUGCUCUCUUUUUGAGUUCUCAAGCAUUUGCUGAGGCCAUGUUGUUGAUUGCUUCAUGGUCCUUUUUCUCAGUAAUGAGCUAACAUGAGUUGAAAGUGGUUGAUUCAGUUAUCAAUAUGAUGUAUCUAUGUCUAUAAAGAUGUUGCUAUUUUAUCCGGUGUUCCAUGAACACACCAAGUAGUAUUCAGCUUUACUAAUGCCGUACCAUUUCUUAGCUAACCGGACAAGCAGCUUGCCGCUCUUUGAAGGGAAGUCUAAACUAGAUGGCUCUAGAGGUACUCUGCUUUUGUUAACGUUAAUGCGGCAUACUCAGAGGUCCUCCCCCAUACUCGCCGGAUGAACAGAUUUCUCUCGAAUCUCUUGAGGUAAGCCUUUGCGAUAACAUGAGAAAGCUGCUUACGUAUGAGUGGCUGCUCCAUCUUCGAAAUCUUCAAAGUAUCGAGGUCGCUGAGUGCAAAGGAAUGGUGGAGUUGAUAAGCGGAGCGGGACAAGGCCAAGAAGGAAGCAUAACGACUUCUGUAAACAACACUCCUUCAUCCUUCCAGCCUUCUUCAAUUUCUCUCCCAAAGCUAGAGUGUUUGAAGCUAUGCUAUCUACACCAGCUGAAGAGCAUAUACAAAGCCCCAAUAAGCUGCGAUUUCAUGAAAAGAUUGGACGUGUACGGAUGAUUGACUUAUUUCAAGUGCCAUACGUUGUUGCAAAUGGAUGUUGUACUGUAAAGUUCCAUAUUUACUAAACCAGAAUAAUCACAGGGUCCAUAGAUGUGAUGAAGUACUUGUAUAUCGACGAAAUAAGAUGCAUGUUCCUCUCGCAUGGUUUGACCAGUGUCAUCCUACGAUCUAGGCAAAUUUGACAGUGUUGCUUAAUCUAAACAUUUUGUAUGAAGUACAUUUAUUCAUCAAAAUUGAAUGGUAUUGAUAUGGCUCCAAAUAAGAAACGGAUCAGCAAAACAAAAGUAAUAAAACCCAAGGAAAGACAAAAGUAAUAAAACCCAAGGAAAAAGGAAAAGAAAAAGAAAAUCGAAGUGAUAGUGCAUCAGAAUUCCUGAAUUGGUGGGAGGAACAUUGGCAGGUUUGGCAAACCUGCAACGUCUUAGGACUUGGGAAGUGAAGGGAAAAAUAUCAAAGUUACGGGCAUUGGAGGCUCUUAAUUCUUCCGGACAGACCACAAUGGCUUUUCUCUAUUCACCGGAAAUUGGUGAUGGUGAUGAGGGCCACUCUGAUUGGAGAAAUUUCAUGUAUUUGUUGAGAUCAACGAUGAUGAUGAUCCAAGAUUUGCAACUUUCGAGUGGAGAAAUUUCAUGUAUUUGUUGAGAUCAACGAUGAUGAUGAUCCAAGAUUUGCAAUUUUCGAGAGGAGAAUCAACGUUGAUUGUUGCGAUAAUGCUUGUCAGGGCAGCAGGGAAAAGUUUUUUCCUGGUGGUUUUGCGGCUUUUGCCCCCAAGUGAUGCUGCAAGUUUGCUGGAUUUCCCCCUAACGGUUUUUUGUCAUUUCCCGGAACGUUUUUGGAAUAAUUUUGCAUGUUGUUACAAAGAUCUCAUGCGGUUCGUUUACAGGAUUUUAAUAGGCCUUAUAUUUAUAUAAUUUACCUUCACUUACUCGUUCAAAUAUUUAGGUUGGAUUUUUUCCUAUGUGCAAAUAGCAAUUUUUACGUGAAAUGCAAACUAAACAUGCUUCCUUUUUAUUAUUAUUUUUUCUGCAAUUAAAGUGAUUCCUCUACCCUAAUGCAUACCAGAAAUAUAUUCAAAAGUGUGACAGGAAAAAGAACUCCUUGAAAUUUUGCAAAGUCGGAGGCGCUUUUUAGACCAAGCGAUGUCUCUCGGCUGCAUUGAAAUAUGUCUUCGUUUUCGUUUUCUUUUGUUCUUUUCCUCAAUCUUCAANNNNNNNNNNNNNNNNNNNNNNNNNNNNNNNNNNNNNNNNNNNNNNNNNNNNNNNNNNNNNNNNNNNNNNNNNNNNNNNNNNNNNNNNNNNNNNNNNNNNGCUGUUUUUUUUUUUUUUUUGUGUGUUCUCUGCCCAAACCUUAAUGAAGACUACUAAUUGGUGUUUGGUCUUUCAAAGUGUAGCAUUAUUGAGCAUCAUCAUCAACUCAUCAAGUUCGCUAAACUCAGUCAUCAAUUAACUAACGAUUCUUGUCUAACAGGAACUGCACCAACGUAGCAAGAAAAAGAUAAACAAAAACUCAGGCAAGAACUCAUUCGUUUUCAAGACUCGGUCAUAAAAAUCGAGGAAAAGAAACUAUGAAUAUGUGCCGGAUUUUUCUCUGCUGCCGUGCCCUUUUUAACCUACUUUUGACCCAGAAUUCGACCAUUUACAGCUCUCGGUUCCUUUUGUGUGUUUUCACACUGCUAAUUUCCUUCAUUCACACACGAAGGAAAGUCGUGUUGAAAGUGGCCUCCUUUCGGCCAACCAGGAGGAGGGAACGGAAAGGACUUCACUUCGAAGAGCGGGCACGUCCAAAAUUCUCAUAAGAAUUCCCAUUUAAAUUCGCCUGGAAAUUUAGAGUCGGGUUGUGUAACAGAUUGGUUCACAAUAAUUGCACUCUUAUUAGAAAGGGCAGUACAAUCACAAGAAUGUGAGAUUACAAAUGGAUGUUAUUAUGGGUCAAAUUAUCAGUGUUUUUCUUCGUUAAUUUUUAUGAAGAUGCGAUUGAAACCUUUGAGCUCGUAACAGUAAUUUAACUUAAAAACUAUUGAGUUAUUAUAGUCUUUAAAUCAUUCUUGGGACAUUUUUUUUUUCUUUUGGAUCUGAAGAUCCAAACUACAUAUGAAACGAGUCCCGUGAUUGGGAAAACACGAAUUUAGCAUAUUAUGCUUGCUCCUAAAUAUUUUUAUGUGGAUGCCACAUAACAAGUACCUAUAUAAGUUCAUGCAAAUAGGAUCCAACGAAUUAACAAUCCAAAAUUUGAGAGAAAAUAUGAAGUGAUUUUGUGCAUUUUUGAAACUCUGUUAGUGUACAUUCUUGUAGUUUUUCCUUGUCCAAAUAUACUGAUUUUCAACUUUCACUAAGAUGUUGCAAAUUCAAUUAGAAGCAUAUAAUUAAUAGUCCUAAUUAGCCAAGUCACAAAACCAAUCAUAAGAGAUUCAUUGCGGUUGUCACAAAGUCUUGAAUUGGUGGGAUGGUUAUUCCCAUGGCAAGAGCGGCUAACAUCGCAAACUUCAUCCUCUAGGGAUUAAGUUAAAAUAUUACCUUUGGCACUUAAGGUGUUCUUAUACUCCAUAAUAAAUAUGUUACUUAUUUUAUCAAUUAAUCUACCCUCAAUAAUAUGCUAAUAUUGGUUUAGAUAAUUUGUCGAUUUGGCUAUAACUUGGAAUAAGAGACAAUAACAAUAUAAAUCUAAUAUUGAAAAAAAUUUGUAUGAUUUUUUUUUUCACUUAUUAGUUAUUCUUUUAGCAAUUACCGAAUAACAUCAUUCAAACUGCAUAAUGCCAAAUCUAUUUUUUUUUUCCAAUUACAUUAUGCCAUAAAUGUGCGAAUCAACAUACAUGAUUUCACCUCAAACAAAUGGACUUUUUUUAUGAAUAAAUUUUUUAAAAAAAAAAGAUAGAAAAAUAGCUCAUAUUAGGGCCAUUUACCAGGUAAUGCAAAUUAAAACCAAGUCUUAUUUAUGUCUAUUAAAAAUUUCCAAUGCCAUAUCAUAUCAUUUACACCUAAAAUGCAUAGAAUAUACAUUCGGAGAAGAAGGAAGAUAAGAGAAACUUAAACAAAAGAGCAUUUCUAUCUGUCGUAAGAUAGAAAGUAAACAUCAAAUUUAGAUAAUCUUACUUUAAAUACUUAUGUAGCAAGCACAUUCAUAAAAAUUAGAACAUAAUGUAAGCCUAAACAAUAAUAUAACGAUUGAUUUAUAUAAAGUGUCAAUAUAACAUUAUGCAAAAAAUUUAUACAUGUAAUAUGGGUUCAUAUCAAUAAAUGGAAUUGGAAGUAAAUUUCUGAAUCUGUGCAACCCAUGGGUCUUUGUUUACUACACAUUCUACAAAAAAAUGCAGUCAUAAGUUACAAUUUGAUGGAAUCACCUACCAAUUCUACUCACAUCAUAGGAAAUGUUUUCUAGCAGCUGGAUGGCUUGGAAUAUUUUGGGGCCAGAGAUGGACACAUUUCAUUCAUAUGAGGGUACAGGUCUACUGUAUUGUAUCCUGGCAGCUCCANNNNNNNNNNNNNNNNNNNNNNNNNNNNNNNNNNNNNNNNNNNNNNNNNNNNNNNNNNNNNNNNNNNNNNNNNNNNNNNNNNNNNNNNNNNNNNNNNNNNNNNNNNNNNNNNNNNNNNNNNNNNNNNNNNNNNNNNNNNNNNNNNNNNNNNNNNNNNNNNNNNNNNNNNNNNNNNNNNNNNNNNNNNNNNNNNNNNNNNNNNNNNNNNNNNNNNNNNNNNNNNNNNNNNNNNNNNNNNNNNNNNNNNNNNNNNNNNNNNNNNNNNNUAAAAAAGAUAACCCAACUAGGGUCAAUCAGAUCGCACUUACAGUGAACUCUGUAACAUGAAUGGAGCUAGAAAUUGGAUCAAGAGUCCUGCUGCUUUGUACAUUCAAGAACAAAAGCUACACAAGAGGCGGACUUCCCAUCACUAUAUACCCAAUGGUCUUGCUCUGGAGUGUCAGCAGUUCAGCAAAAGAUGACCCCCUCAUUUCAGUUUCGUGUAUUAGAUUAGGAAGAUCCAAGCCCUGUAUGCAACACAAUCGUAAGGUAGCCAUAAAGUAAAGUAAGUGUAAUUACAACCAUAUAACAUUUGUUAACAGAAUGUCAUCCAAGAGACAUUAGAUUUCAGUUGCACCUCAGUGUGCAAAACAAGAUGCAUAACGUCACACAGACAAUUGCAAAUUGAAUGGGACGGUACCUUUGUUCCUAGUCACUUGUUGAGUGCUUCAUUCCAUAUGUUCGCAGCAUAGGCUGGUUGCACUUGGUUCCAUAGUCAUAACAGAAGCAACCUACAAUAAUACAAUGCUUUCUAUAAAAUGAGUGAACCGCACUCCCAUCACGCGAAUAAAGCACCCCACAUGGUGAGCAUAUUACAUGCAUCGUCAGUCAGGCUGAUAGCAACUCUUAAGAAACAAUGAACAAAGUCUACUAUUUUGCUGUCUUAGUAUCAUAUAGGAGGCCAUAAAAAAUGAAUAAUUGUCAAACUAAGCCAGGUUCUUUUCCAUAACGUUAGCACUCAAUAGAGUCACAUACGAACCUGCUAUUUGGCAAAAUCACUGUUCAUUUUUUAGCCUUUUGUCUUGUUCAGUUGAAUUCAUUCGAAAUCAUGGCAUGAUUGUCUAAUUUCAACUAGAAUGUGUUGUUAGGAUCUAACACACGGCUUAAUAAUAUUUCAAGGUCUAUCAAAGUAAGAGUAAANNNNNNNNNNNNNNNNNNNNNNNNNNNNNNNNNNNNNNNNNNNNNNNNNNNNNNNNNNNNNNNNNNNNNNNNNNNNNNNNNNNNNNNNNNNNNNNNNNNNGCAUCUAAGAAUCUCAAGGCAUCUACAGAUAUACCUUGGAAGUAACACAAGGCCUUAGCGCUAGAAAAUUGUCUAAGGCAACUGAAUGCACCCACAAAAUAUAUAUAAACAUAUAUGAACGUGUACAAUCUCUGUACCACAUGAGCAUCUAAUGGCGGUAGAUAAUUUGCGCCGAUGGUGUCUAUCCAGCUAAAAAGCAUGUUGUGAUAACCAUAUGGUUUCCCAUUCAUAAUCUGUGCAAACUCCCAUGCAGCAGCUCAUUAAAUUUGGCUCACAUAUCAGGAUGCAGUGGAAGCAACGCAAUGUGGGGAUUUGAGUAAUCUUUGUUAAGCUCGAACUCCCACCAUUUUCCCAUGGUAACACAGCAAUGACAUCUUCUCCCUGCAAUGAUAAGAACAAAACAAAACUUGCAUAAUCUCUAUUACUAUGUUAGACUUCUUAGCACCUGACCCCUUUACCAACACAAAGGAACAAAGCAUGUAGCAAAAACCCAAAUGUGACCAUAAAUUUAUUAAUCAAGGUCUGCCUCAAGUAAAGGACGUCAUUUCAUCAAAUUCUAACCAUAAUCAUCAUCAGUAAGUUAUCGUCUCGUGUGUAAGGAUGGUCCUGAAGUUCAGCAGAAAAAGUUCAGACACUGCAUUCCCUAUGUUACAAAUAUGAUGAUGCUCCAAUAGAGCUUCUAGUAGGAGCCUAGAUAGGAUCAGCUGCAGUUCAACAUGAACCUGAAGCAGCAUGUCAUCGUUUACUUACUCAUCCUCUCUUACAAUCAAAAGUUUCUAUGGGAGCACAAAAAGGAAAGACCUAUCUUAUUAGAGAACAUAAGAUGAGCAAGGAGAUUUAAGGACAUAGGGGCAUGACUAAAGCACGCUUAAUAUGCAAAAUGGAACGAUCUCAAUGGGAACCAUAUUUGUGAGAGAAGAAGUCCAUGAUUCGACAAAAGUCACAUUUAUAAAGUAAUCACACAGAAAUACAAUGCCCCAAAAACCUAAGGGUUCAUGAAAUGUUAGAGAAACACAGCAGAAACCCUACUUGUCCUUUUCAAUAUGUAUGAGACCACACUUUGAUAAUCAGAGGACAUUAAAGCAGUAUUGUAUGAGUGUCUUUAAUAAUGAAUGACAGAUAAGCAUAGGGAAUUUUUUUUUUUUUUUUGGGUCGGUAAGCACAGGGAAUUAAAGAGAUGGAGAAAUAAUGACUCAAACAAUUCUGGGGGUGUUUGAAACAUUUGAACGUUUGUCUAUUGGAUAUCCCCAUAUAGGAACAAUGUGGACAAUUAUUGUGGAAGACUGGCAUACUUACAGCCAUGUUAAUAUUGUGUCUAUGCAAUUGGUUUAAAACUUUACUUCACAAUUACAAUUGCAGAGACAGCAGCAGGCAAAAAGAUUGGAUGAAAUGUCGAACAUCAAAAGCAAUCCAUCAAUGUAUGGAAAAAAAAGAACGNNNNNNNNNNNNNNNNNNNNNNNNNNNNNNNNNNNNNNNNNNNNNNNNNNNNNNNNNNNNNNNNNNNNNNNNNNNNNNNNNNNNNNNNNNNNNNNNNNNNNNNNNNNNNNNNNNNNNNNNNNNNNNNNNNNNNNNNNNNNNNNNNNNNNNNNNNNNNNNNNNNNNNNNNNNNNNNNCCAACCCAAAGCUUUCCUUCAGCAUCCCUUAAGCACACAGCUGUGUGACCAGCAUAUGCGCCACUGACCCAUUUCUCUAGAGUCCCAAAACCACCCCACCUUCCACGAAUUUUUGAAAUUGCAAUGAAGUCUCCAGAGUGGAUAUCAUCAAUGCUGAUGUUUGUAACCCAGGGCUGGGGACGUUGCUCAAAUGAAGCUCCCAUAUGCUUCUUGAGAAAACCAAUGUUAGAUUUCUCCCCUCACCCGGUAUUUGAAAACAAGGAAACACAUCCCACAGUGCUUGAAGGGUCCCAAGCAUCCCAGCUUGCAUCAGAAAGAUUGACACUCCUCUACUUUUCACCUGCAAUCAAAAUAAUGGAAAAUCAAAGUUUGACAACUCGCCAAUAUGCACAAGCAAGAGCAGAAGAGAAAAAAGAUAAUUGCAGCUUACAUAUUCAAACUCAGCUUUUCCUUCCCACUCUUUGAACUCAAAUGUGUGCUCACGAGAUAAAAGAUACUAGUCCCAUGUCACGCAGUAUGGGGUUGCAAAGACAUAAAUAUCCAUACACGUCCAGCUAUGGGCUUUGCUCACCUGGAUGAGCAAUCCAAACUCAUGGUUACAAGCCGGAUACCUACAACUAGUUGUUAGUUUCCAUAUUCAGCAGAACUAGAUGCAAAAACAAGGACUAUGAAGCAUCAACACGAGGCAGUACCCACCCAAACUGGAAUAGCCUCCAUAAGAUAAUUUGAUUUUACAUCAAACGAAACAAUUGUACUUGUAUGAGCAACCAAAUCACUAAAUCCUUCUUCAACCACUUAAAACCUAGACACAAAAGACUCAAGUGACCAACCAUGGUACCAAUUCGUGGAGCUUAAUCAAAGUACAAACAAGCAGAUGAAAGGAGAAGGAAGAAAAAAACUUAGCUAGUGACGAAAUCCACUAGAAACAUAUUGAAGUAAGAACUGAAAAAUUCCAUCACUCAGAUUCCAACAUAAAUAGCAGAUGAGAAAAGAGAACAGUUGGGAUCAAGUGGCAUGGGCCCAAACAUCGAAAGGAUAUUCUCUAACGUCCUUUNNNNNNNNNNNNNNNNNNNNNNNNNNNNNNNNNNNNNNNNNNNNNNNNNNNNNNNNNNNNNNNNNNNNNNNNNNNNNNNNNNNNNNNNNNNNNNNNNNNNAGUGAUUUUCUUUCACAACUCUAUAGAUAAGUAUGACGCACACUUCAGUUGGUAAGAAAAAUUCGUAAGUAGAUAGAAACUCUAUCCAGUUUAGAGCUUUGAAUCCAUUAGAAAAAAUCGACCUCAAAUUAACUAAAAUAGAAGCUCAAACUAAGUUAAUCGGAAACUGGGAAAAGCUGCCCAAACGAUGGCCAUUAGACCCCAUCAAACAAACUCCUACAACCUCACAUCUCCUAGAAUUAUCACACAAUCCGAACUGCAGUGAAUUGAAUUAAGCACUAACAUUCGACCAGAGAACCUUAAAAGCUCGUGAACAGUGACUGUCUCUGCACAUUACCAAGCCGCCACAAGCUCAAGCAUCCCAAAAUCUUCCAGAAUCGCACUCAAACACAAGUAUUUCCAUUCCAUCCCGUUCCCCACUAUUCACCAAACAAAAAACAAGACUUGGAAUCAUCACUCCAGUCCAUUCCUUUCCCCAUCAUUUCCCGAUUUCAUUCCAUUCCACCGUACCAAACCCAACGUAAUAGUCAACUAGAAAACCUCAUCUUCCAGAAUGGCACUCAAAACCAAACGGAGACCAAGCAAAAGCGACGCGAUAAAACUAAAGAACGGACCUUAAUGUGAGGCGUGCCUCCGCCGAACUUGCUCCCGGUGUUGUUGUGGAACUCCAACCAAGCGGUCGGAGGAAAAAACGGUGCCGACGAAGGCGGGCAACAGGUCCAGGGGACGGCGAAGGGCGUUGAGGAUGGGCCAGGACAGCUGCUUCGGCAAUAGAUGGAGUAUGUUCUCCAUGGUGGAAUGGUGGUUUCGCGGCUCGAGAGCGCGGGUUGAGCAGAGAGGAGAACGUGAAGAGGAAGAGAAGCAGCAGAAAUUGGCUGACGAGAAGCCAUUGAAAUUGCGAGAGAGAGAGAGUCACCUCUCCAGCGACGGUCCACUUCUUUUUAGUGUCUCGCGCUACACUAUAAAAGGUGUAGGGGUAAGAGGAGCCACUCGUUUUGAUUACAUCCUUGGACGCUUGGUAAUUUAGGGUGCUUAACCAGUUAAAUGAAACAUUAAAGCAUAAUCGGGGCUGAAAAUAUUCUGUAUUCUUAUAUUAUGUAUUAAUGUUGGCAAAAAUCUUAAAUUAUAUCCAUCGUGACAUUAAUGUCUCGAAUUAGUAUUGAUUUCGUGGCGAACAAAAGUUAAGAUUUUUAGAGACAAGCUAGAGGUAUUUCCACUUCAAAUAUAAGUUUUAAGUGUAAAGAAGGGCGAUUAGAAGUCUCCAUGGAGGACCUAACCCUAUGGGAAGAUAUAUUGCUUACCCACCCCCUUGUAGCUUACCGUCAAACUACGGCCAUUGAUAGCUUCAAAUUGGCUUAUAUUGCCUAUCCCUCACCCUCUUAUAUUGCCUCAACAACUUUCACUACACCGCCCUCUCAGGACUUAGUUAACAUCAAGAGUAUCCUUUUAUUUAUAUGUUGUCAGUACGAACUUGACAUUUAGCUUGAUUUCGCAAUAACCAUGCAAUCUUCCUUGUUGCUAAAUUGUGUCUUGAGUUUGAGCCGAAUCCACACCUUAUUGCUCAAAGUCACGCACGAAAUGCAAUGCGCACACAAGUCUUGGACCUUUUUUCUCUACUUCAUUAAUGCUAUGCUUGCACGAAUCUCCUCCUGUGUCCCCUUAUCAUUUUAUCUUCUUUUUUUGGUUCGAAUCCCCUUUUGUCAUUGAAGGAGCUGAACGUCCAUUUUUCGCCCUCACUCCACAGCGCUCCCUAUUUCGGAUUCUCGCUCGAUCAGCGAAAUGAGAAAACUUGGCGCCGAAGUGGACGUCGGAAAUGGCGGUGAUGGCGACGUUCUUGAGGCCUAGCCUCAAUAUUCGAGUGGAAUUGAGAGGGUGCUUCCAUUCCAGACAGUGGUGGAGAACUGUGACGCUCACGGGGUGAUCGAGACCCCGGAGAUUGGAUCCGAGCACAGAGGCACGUGAGUCGUUUUCGCGUUUUCAUGGAACAGGGGUGGACGUUGGUGAUCUGGAUGGGGAAAGGAUGGAGCUUGAGGAGGAUGGUCAGGGACGCGUAUAGAAACGGACUCGACUUAGGGUUCAAGAACGGGUUUACAAAUGGGAUUCAGGUUGCGAAAUGGACCUGCAUCUUUCUAGGAUGGAGAAGUUUUUUCCAGAAAUUGUGAGACGAUUUCGGGAAUUUGAAAGAAACGAGAAGGACCAGAGCACAGGGCAAUUUUAAUUUAUUUUGGCCAAACGUUCGAGCAAUAGUUUCGAAUUACUAAGGAGUAUAUAUAAAUUUCAGCACGGUGACCUCUUUGGUUCAGAUCGGAAAAGUAGUGUGGGGGUGGUGUCUCGCCGCCCUCUAGCGAUACACAAGGGCCUGGCAGUGCAACGUUGUGGGCUUAGUAGGGCUUUUAGGGCUUAUUUGCCGGAUAUUCAUCGAUUUCUGGCCGAAUACAUGGCAACAACCAACGGCGGAGGUUGUUCUCAUGGGACAGCCACAGCCAUGGUCGCCGUCCCCUGAAAUGAUUAAGUUAAACAAUUUGUCAAAUUGCUUAAUUCAACAAUUUCGCACUCAACAGUGUCGACUUCGUAACUCACUUUCUCUGAUGAAAAAUGACCAAUAUCAUGCGUUUAAACCACAGUAGGCAUCGGCUAAGAUCAAAACGUUCAGAUUCAGCCGCAACAAGUCAACGAUGAGGCCCUUGAAAGACUUCUAUCCUUCCAAAGUCUUUUCUUGACUUAGGCAAUUCCAUUUGUUUCUUCACAUACUUGUUCAAGUUUUUGGGUUAGACUGUCAUGUGCUGAUGACUUAAUUAUUGCGUGAUUAUAUUAUUAAACUAAAUAAUUUGAUAGAUUAUGAUUGAUCUUAUUAAGCCAACUGCAUUUGAUAUUUUCACGUUAUUUGGCAUACAAAAUGUCGAUAUAAAUAGUAUAAUUCUAGGGGCUAAAAUUGUAAUUGACUCAAAGGCGAACGCGUAUUUGUGAGUAAUACCGUCAAACUCCUUUUGAGAUUCUCCUUCCAAGGCAUGUUCUCCUACUUAGAUAACUCGAUCAGUUUCCUCUUUUUUUCAAUAAUAUAAUUUAAUUUCCCUUUAUUAAUUUUCUCUAUUUAAAUCUAGUGUAUUUCUCUACUAGUGUUUUCGCUCCUGGUGAAAUAAGGGGAUUAAAUUUAUUUGGUCGGUUAACUAUCAACGUCAAUUAAGAUUUAAUUUCUUUCUAUCUCUUUUUGUAAAUAUUUAUACACAAAAUUCUUAUUGUGUAUUUUUGUCAAUAAAUUAUUUUCAUGAUUUAAUAAUUCAUAUAUUUUACCAAAAAAAUUAUUUAAAUUAAUUUUUUAAAUACCAAUUGUUCCCACACACAUAAUGCAUAGCGGGUGAUAAAUAAAAAGCAGAAGAUCCUCAUAGGAGAAAAGGAGCCCGCGUAUAGCACGAUUUCAUUCUCUAGAAUUAAUUAUUUUCUUAAGAAGGUAUUUCACAAUUUCCAAGUUGUCUUUGAAUUAAUCGAGUCUUUCUUAAAUAUCAAUCUACAUAUUGGCUUUCUAAUUGUUGAAUGGGUUUAGUACCCAUGGAUAAUAAGUAAUGCUACAAAGACCUUAGAAGACAAAAAGGAUUUUCACCCUAUAUGAUGUCAUGUGUUCUCAUCGCCCUAAGAACAUAUGUUAGCUUGUCAUACUAUCUAAUGGGCUAGGAUGCAAAAGUCACAAUAUAGCCGUAUGUAGUAUGGCCAUUAAAAAUGCAGAAUAAACAUGGUUUCUUUUUAUUAUUAUUUUUUUUUUACGAAUAAAGUGAUUCAUUUAUUCAAAAGCAUAUUGGAAAUAUAUGACAUGAAUGAUUUAAAAAGUAAAGAAAAAGAAAUUCCUUGAAAUUUUGUAAAGUCGGAGGUGCUGCUCAAAUCGAGGAGUGCGGGUGGUCCCAGCAAAGUGACGUUAAUGUACAAGAAACAAAAGGUAGGAAAAGUAAUAAGAGCAACGUGCAGAAACGACGACGGCUUGGCGUGGAACGAGCAUGGCUUUAAGCAAACACAGAAGCGGCGCAUCUCUCGAUAUUUUGAUGUCGCCUAUUCUUCCUCUUCUUCUUCUUUUUUUUAAACUGAUAAGGCUGCUCCGGAGCCUCUCUUCAUUUUCGUUUUUUUUGUUUGUUUUUUCCUCCUCAUUUUUCCAACCACAUCCUCACCAUAACGCGCCUUCUCUCUUUUGUCCCCUAGCUCUCCCCACUUUCUUUCGCCCGACUCUCUCUUCUUGUCUUGCUUUCUUUUUUGGGUUCCCCGCCCAAACCCUUAAUGAAAGAUUAAUUGCUGUUUAGUAUUUGUUGACGCCUCAAAUUUUAAUUAAGUUUAUUUUAUCUUAUUAAUUAAUUUUUUAUUUUAUUUAUCUUGUCUUUUUUCGAAAUAAAAACAGCAAAGCAAAGCAAAGCAAAAGAAAAAAAAAAGAAAAAAAAAAAAGAGCAGCCUUUGUAUGGGCCCUCGGCCCAUUUCGUCUCAGCCCAGCCCCCCCCACUUCUUCUUCUUCCUCGCGCAGUUGCAGUGCACAAGCAGAGGGCGCGACGCCGGAGCGGAGGGGAGGAGCAACAAUGGCGCACGUGGAGCAGGGGGCGGCUGGCGUCGGAUAAGAACGUGGGAGGGGCAGCUGGCGUCGGAUGGGACGCCGGUUCGGCCGGCGGAGGCCGCUUGGCGCACGGGGACCGGCGGUCGAAGCUCCGUCGACCGGCUGCUCCCUCGCCUAUAAAUAGGCCCCCGUUUCCGUUGUCGAAGGGGCACGCCAGAAGAUCGCAAGCUUGGAAACUUCUUCCUGAGAGACUUCGGAGGAGGUUGAAGGGCGAGCGAGAGAGAACUCGGGUCGCGAGUUCGGCUGACCUCCCACUGAGAGACUUCGGGGGAGGCUGCCGGCGAGCGAGUCCGAGGUGGUCAGAUCCGGCCGGUGGAGGCUCGGAUCUGGCCGGAAGAGAGAGAGGCCUGCGAGCUCCGAGAGAUCCCCUGAGAGACUUCGGGGAACUCAAAGAGCGAGCAACGACCUCCCUCCGAGAGACUUCGGGGGAGGCCGGCGGCGAGCGAACCCGGAUCUGCGAGAACUCGAGAGCGGAGAGAGGAGAGAGAUCGAAGCCGCGAGCAUUCAAGCUUCCCCCGAGAGACUUCAGGGGAGGCUCGACGCUCGCGAGCCCAGAUCAAAGGGAGGGAGCAGAGUUCGGGCACCCUCCGCCGUCGUAGCCGCCGCCGUCGCCACCGUUCGCCGUUCAAGCUGCCGUUCACGGACAGGUAGUGCUACCGCCGCCGCCGCCGUCGCCGUCGCCGUCGCCGUCGCCAUAGCCUCCCCCCCCUCUCCACAGUUCAACCGCCGUCGCCGCCGUCACCGUCGUCCCCGCGGUUGUGCCUCGGCCCUCUCCCCCCUCGGCGCCGCGGAUUCGCAAACCCUAGAUUUCCGGGUCACGAAGCGGAUCCGGGUUUGGAAAGCGGGUAGGGUUUUCGCGAUUUAAGGGGCGGCGGAAACCGGGUCGGGAGUUGGGUCGGACCCGGGUAGGGUUUCGCUAGGAACCCGGGUCGUCGGGCCGGGCCGGGCGUCCCCAAACGCCCGACCACGGCGUCGUUUAAAAAAAAAAAAACGAUGAAAAAUCUGACUCGGGCCCGCGUUUGGGUCGCCGACCCGGGUCGGACCCAACCCGCGGAUCCGACCCGGGUCGGUUUUAUUUUGUUAUUUUAAUAUAAAAUAAUAAAUAUUUUAUUUUCAAAAAAAAAAUCAAAAAAUGUUUUAUUUUCAAAAAAUAUUUAAAAAUGUUUUAAUUUCCAGAAAAUCAAAAAUAUUUAAAAAAUAUUUAAAAAAUGUCGAAAAAUGUUUUAUUUUCUAAAAAAUCGUGAAAAAUCAAAAAUAAUUUAUUUUCCAAAAUAUUUUGAAAAAUAAUAAAAAAUAUUUUAUUUUCCAAAAAAGAAAAUUAAAAAUAUGCCAAAAAUCCAAAAAAAACCAAAAAUUCAUGAAAAAACAAAAAAAAAAAUUCAGAAAAGCCAAAAAGACAUGUGUUUUUCAAAAAAAAAAACCCAAAAAAUCCCUUUUGCGUCCAAAAAUAAAAAAAUGACUCAAAAAAUGUUUUUCCUCCAAAAAAUGCAUGGAAAAUCUCUCAAACAUCCAAAAAAGCCUUAGAAUCCUUAGGGUUUAAACAAAGAUUAAGUACCGAAAGGGCAUUAGUGAUUAACUAAUGUAAUCAAGUCCCCGAUCCUAAUUUCUCUAGUUACGCAGGAGCGAGUAUUUCUCCCGAUACUUCGCUUGGGUUUUUAAUCGACCCACUCCAAAUCGAUUAGUGGCGACUUCAUUUUAAAAAUUGAUUUAUAGGUUAAAAACUCAAACUAUUAAAGUCGUGAAUUGAUGAACUUGGGAGAGUAUGGGCAUAAUUAAAAUUAGCCGAGCCAUUAGCCUUCUUUUUUUGGUUCCCCGCCCAAACCCUUAAUGAAGAUUAAUUGCUGUUUAGUAUUCCAAAGUCCAGCGUUAUCGGGCCCCAUCAUCGACCUAUCAAGUUCGCUAAACUCAGUCAUCAAUGGACUGACUAUUUUUGUUUGAACACGAGCUGCACCAACAUGACAAGAAAAAGGAAAAUAAAAACUUAGGCAAGGGCUCAUUGAUUUCUAACACUUGAUCAUACAAAUUUUUGAAAAGAAAUUUUAAUAUCAUUGCUUUGAGGAUGGACGCACUCUCAACAAGUGAACUCGCGUGAUCAAAUUCAGUAAUACGACAGAAUCAUCUCAAAGAUUUAAGUUUAAUAGUUAUUUUAUACGGCGAUCAUCAUAGGAAUGUGGCAAUUUCGAGCGCCUGCAAUGCGAUGUCUUGAUGUAUCAUAGGAAUGUUAUCUAGAUAUACAAACGGCAAAGGAGCAACAACAUAUCGGCAAUGACUUGGGUAGUAAUGAUGCAUCUAUGAGGCCUAUCCUUAUUCGAUUUUUUUUCUAUUUGUUUUUGUUCAUGUUUUCUUUCUCAAACCACUCUAAUAUGAAUUAAAUAGUAGAUAUCUUAAUAUAAAAUCAACAAUAGAAUUCUCCGUUUCGUUUUGGAACUCAUCGAAUGAGACUUUUUCUCUAAUUUUUUUACUAAUCCAUUUAGAUUACAUUUUAUAUUAUCACUAAAGUUUUAUUGUAAUUUAACUUGUUGUUAUAUCAUCCAUAGAAUAAUCAUAUUAUCGAUAUUGUAGAAAACAGAUAAAUAAAAUCAAACAAAAUCGAAAUGCUCAUUAGACCAUAGAAUAAUCAUAUUAUCGAUAUUGUAGAAAACAGAAAUUUUAAUGAUUUUUAACUACUAACUAAAAUAUGUAAUGUGUUUCUAGCUAGUAUCUCGUUCUGUUUUCUUCUCACCCCCUAGCUCUAUCCGCAAUGAUCGAGCCGUGAUCAUGUGAAUGCUUGACUAAAGCCUCCCUUCAGCCGCGUUUUUUCCUGCUUUUUAUGUCCCUACUUUUUUCAGUAAAUCUUUGCCCAAGAUAUGGUCCAUUAUGAGGGGGUGCUGGUUUUUCUAUGUCGCGUCCGCUUCUGAACCACCUUUUUGAACCAGAAUUCCACGAUUUCUGGCCUCCCUUUCCCUGUUUCUGUUCCUUCGUGCGUUUUCACGCUGCUAAUUUCCUUCAUUCACACCCCGCGGGAAUGCCGUGUGGAAACUGGAAAGUAGCCUCCAGUCGACCAUUUCGGUCAGCCAGAAGGAGGGAGCGGAGAGGACUUUUAUUUGGAGAGCAGGCUGCGUCCAAAACUUCCAUAAGAAUUAUCAUUUAAAUUCACUGCGGAAAAUUUAGGGUUAGAUCGUGUAAGGUUGGUUCAUAAGAAUUCACAAUCAGGAAUGCAAUGGAGAGAGAGAGAGAGAGAGAGAUUUAUGGGAUUAUGAAUGUAUUUUUAUUAGGAGUCAAAUUAUCAGUGAAUUUGAUCGUUAAAUUUCAUUAAAAUGCGAAUGAGACCUUUAAACGGAAAUUUAUGUAUCAACAAUAAUUAAUCUUACAAAUUAGUAAGUAAUUGUUUCUCGUUAAAUCAUCCCUUAGUUGAAUUUUUUUUUCUUUUUAGUCUAAAGAUCUAAAUUGCAUACAAAAUUGGUCUUGUGAAUUCAUUAGUAUAGGUAAUAUUCUAAAUUUGAGUCAAUAUUUAUGCAAAGUAAAUAAGCAGCAGUACUCACGAAGAUUUUCCUAUUGAUUUCUAGAGGCAAAAAAGAGCAAUGCUAUGCAUAAGAGAACUGGAUAUUUAUAUAUAUUAAGAUGGAUAGAAAAUGAUAAGGAAAAUAGUGCGGUAGCUCUCUUAAGAAAAUUUUGUUUUUAAUUUUUCAUUUUCCUUGGAAAGUCUAGAGAAUUUGGCAAUUAAGUAAACCAUAGUUUAACAUUCCAUAAUAAUUUUCCACCUCAUUCGGUGCACUAAUUUUUUUAUAUAUUUACAUAUUUAGCACCAUUUCGGGCAAGACAAAGAAAGAUAAGUAGGCUCAAAAGUUUAUCGGGUGCACGUUCGCAUGAGUUUCCUCGUGGUUAAAGCUGAAAUUGGCUCAAAGGCGAACGCGUGUUCUUGAGUAACACUGUCCCACUCCCUUUGAUGACGAUGACAUCAGAGACAAUUACCCGACACUAUUGAAAAGAGAGAGAGAGAGAGAGAGGGGGGGAAGAGGUCUUAUCGUGGCUUCCAAAAGAGGCCACUUGAAAUCUCUUAAAAAAAGUGAAAGUUAUGCGAGGUGGAGUAUAAAUAGACAAAUUGCUCAUUAUUUUUGUUAAUAGAUUAUUGUCUAGAAAUGAAAAAGAAAAAAAAAAGAUGUAAAUAGUGAAGCAAUGAGGCAGCAAUAAAAUAGGAAACUUGUCAACCCCCAUGCAUUAUAUUAAAUUAAAAUAUUAUUAAGUCCAUUGUCGGUCUAGAAAAUAAUUUGCACAUUCCCGAUUAAGAGUUGACACGUGAAAUAAUUCACUGGCAAAAGCAACUUCAAACACAUAUGUCACUCAUUCACGAUAAAUGUGUAUUGAGGUUUUAACAUUGAUUAUGCUUCCAACAAUAAUCCAUUAAAUUACUAGGUUUUUCGGCUAACAAUUUUUCUAUAUUUAGUUUAAAAUAUUAAAAUAAUAAGACCAAACAGAUAAUAUAUUCGGAUGUUCAAAAUUUUUACCCAUGGGUUAAUUAGGAAUGCCAACUAUUUAAUAAAAUAUUCAAAAUAUUAUUAUUUCAUAGUAUCUAGAGAAUGAAAAUAAAUAAAUAAAAAAAGUCAAAGUCAUGCGAGGGUGAAAUAAAAGCAAUCAAAUCAUUAAAGAGAGAAAAAUCAUUUUUAUUUAUUAUAGUAAUAGGUUAUAGUGUAGAAUGAAAACGAAAAAAAUAUAAAUAAAAGAAAGGGUAAAAGCAUGCGACGACACCUAUCUAAUGUGCCAUUGCUCCAGGAGGCCUCCACGUAGCACCCGAGUUGUCUAUUCCACCGUCCAUCUCGCCGACACGACGGACGGGAAAAAAACCCACGCCGGACCCCCCCCCCCCACCCCCGAAACGGCACAUGUUGGUGUCAGCGGGAGCGUCGGACCGGGCCCCGCCCCGGUUCACGAGGAUCGCCACCGAUGACGUGGACAUGUCGAGAAGGGGGGCAGGAUCAAAGCAACGGACGGCUUGGAGGUGUGGUCGUUCGGCUUGUCGUACGCCUGGCCAUGUGAUCACAUGAAUCGGGCGUACUACGGUCAGGGGGAACAAGGGGAGAGGGUGGGGCCCGUUGGGCCGGGGAAUGUAGUUAGGCCAUGAUGAUGGACGGCUGGAUGGACGCGUGGUCGUUCGGCUUGUCGUACGCUUGGCCAUGCCAUAAGUCGGGGAUUUCUCGGGGUACGGUCAGGGGGAACAAGGGGAGUGUGAAUGUGAAAAUCGAUCCCCAAUGAACACAAUCAACGCCUCCUGACCCAGCAUCUAGGGGGGAGAAGGUUGUCAUUGGUGAUUAGGCCUUGUAAAUUGGUAUUUUCAUGGUUUGAUUUUAAUUUGAUAAAUUUACCUAUACAAAAGUGCUAAAAUAAUCUAAGCGGGGAGAUCAACCAUAGUCCAACAGAGACCAAUAUUAGUUUGACGUGAUAUUGCUAUGGUUGUUACGUUUGUUGUCCGACAAUGAUAUAACGUGCGAUUAUGUUUGUGACUACGGACUUCUGUAUUGAGUUGUGAUUUACGUGCUUUUUCUAGCGGUAAAAUAUAACAUAUUUGUAACUUUUAACAAGGUCGCUAAUUCUGUUAAAAAAAAAACAGGGUCGUUGAUUAGAAUUCGAUACUUUGACCAAGUCCAAGUCUCUCCCUUUCUCUCACACAUAGAAACAUGAUGAAAUGAUAAACGACGGAGACGUUUCUUGCGCGUGUUCUAAGCAAGUGUGCUGUUUUCUCUUAUGGCAGAGUCCCUCUCGAUUCUUCACCAAAACCUGUUCAUUCCCAUUUCCAGCAGCAGUUGAAUGCCCUUGUUCCUCUAGGAAUUGGGUUUCCGCCUUUGAAAGAAGAUGAGAAAGAAGUAGUCGAGAGAAGAGGAGAAGAGAAUUUUCUUUGUAUUAUGUAUAUCAUUCAAUGUACAAUGUCUACUAUGUUUAUAAUACAAAAUGUGUAUAAGAAAAGCAAGUAAAUAUUUUACAAUUUGGAUCCGAUUAGAUCCGAUACUAAAUGAUCGUGAUUGAUCUUGAAUGAUGUUGUGAAUCUUCAUGUGUAUCUUCUAACAAUCCCACUCAAGUUGAUGGCUUGUAAAUAUCCGAGAUGCCUAGCUUGCUUAGAAGAUACGCGUGCUGGCUUUGACACAAGGGUUUAGCGAAGACGUCCGCUGGUUGCUCUUCUGUUCGGAUCCCCAGUGUCUCGAUUAUCCCUUGUUGGAUCUUUUCUCGUGCAAAAUGGCAGUCCACCUCUAUGUGUUUCGUUCUUUCAUGAACUAUUAGGUUUGAGGCAAGUUUGAGGGCCGCAUCAUUAUCCCAAAACAAUUUGGUUGGCCCUUCAACUUGUACCCCAAGAUCUCGAAGAAAUCCACGUAGCCACACUACCUCACAUGUGGUCUUUGCCAUGGCUCGAUAUUCCGCUUUUGCUGAGGAUAAUGAAACAGUCGGUUGCUUCUUUAUCUUCCAUGAAAGUAAAGAAUCCCCUAACUUGAUACAGAAACUUGUUAUGGACCUUCUGCUCAUCGAACAUGUCGCAUAAUCUGCAUCACAAUAUGCAGUCAUCCUCAUAUCACAUUUCUUGGAGAGGAGAAUCCCAAGACCUGGACAUUUCUUCAAAUAUUUUACCACUUUGAGUGUUGCAUUCAUGUGGGACUGCUUUUGAUUGUGCAUGAACGACUAGGAGUUUGCACAGCAUAACUGAUAUCCGGCCUGGUUAUAGUUAAAUAUAUGAGUUUCCUAACAAGUUUCUGAUAAGUCAUUGGAUCCUCAAUGUAGGAUCGGGUUCUUAAGAGAUUCCAGUAUCAUACUCUGCUGUGGUCAAUUUGAUAUUUUGCUUGAUUGGAAUUACAACCGGCUUACAUCCUGACAGUCCGACUUCUGAUAUGAUUUCUAAGGCAAAUUUUCUCUGGUUGAGAGAUAUUCCUUGGUCUUAACUAACUGGACAAGCAGCUUACUGCUCUUUGAAGGGAAGUCUAAACUGGAUGGCUGCAGAGGUACUCUGAUUUUGUGAAUGUUAAUGCUACAUUCCUUUUUUUUAACAUGGUGGAAUGAUGUAGUCUAUCCUGCGGCUCAUACAAUCCUUGAUGGCAUAUGAUUACAGCACAGAUCUCAAUCGUACUGCUAACAUCUGAAGUUUGGGAAGUACUAUUUACAGGAAACCUCCUUGGAGCGAGUAUGAGCGGGNNNNNNNNNNNNNNNNNNNNNNNNNNNNNNNNNNNNNNNNNNNNNNNNNNNNNNNNNNNNNNNNNNNNNNNNNNNNNNNNNNNNNNNNNNNNNNNNNNNNUUUUCUCUGUUUGUCCUUCCAAGUAAUAUGCUUCUAACCAAAUAUGUGUCACCGUUUUCUGUUGGAAGUUCGGGACUGUGCAUAUUACCAUUUGUUAUGUGAUAUGUGUCUUUAUUUUCUAUUUAAGGUUUAAUCAUUAAUGUAGGGUCAAGCUAUAUUUAAGGUGAUGCAAAGUUCUCCACCAAUACCUAAGACGUUAUCUGCUGAGGGAAAGGAUUUCCUGCAGUGCUGCUUUUGAAGAGAGCCUGCCGAGAGGCCUUCAGUUGUUAUGCUACUUGAGCAUGCUUUCUUGCAAAUUUGAAGUGAUGACUGACUUAUUUCGAGUGCCAUACCUUGUUGCAAAAGUGAUGUCGUACUAUAAAGUUCCAGAUUUGCUAAACCAAAAGUAUCAUGAGGUCCAUAGGUGUGAUGAAGUACUUGUCUAUCGACAAAAUUAAAUGCAUGUCUGAGAGGUGGCAUACUUUGAUCUAGGAAAUUUGACAGUAUUGCCUAAUCUAAGCGGAGAUCUAGGCAAUUUGAAAGUCUUGCCUAAUCUAAACAUUUUACUAUGGAGUGCAUUCUUAUCAUAGACAUUUUGUCUAUUACUUUAAUUUCAUCAAAAUUGAAUGGUAUUGAUAUGGCUCCAAGUAAGCAACAAAUCGGCAAAACACAAGCAAGAAACCCAGAAAAGAAAAAGGAGAAAGAAAAUCCAAGUGAUGAUGCAUCAGAAUCCCUGAAAUAAUUUUGGAAGCAAGUACUCCGUCGAUUUGGUUGGGGGAACAUUGGCAGGUUUGGCAAACCUGCAGUAUCUUAGGAUUGGGGAAGUGAAGAGAAGAGUAGCAAAGUUAUGGGCAUCGGAGGCUCUUGAUUCUUCCUUUAAGAAUGUCGAUCUCAACAAAUACAUGAGAUUUCUCCAACUAGAGUGGCUCUCAUCUCCAUCACCAAAUUCCGGAGAGUUAAGAAAAGCCAUUGGGUGUCUGUGGAUGUAAAUGAUGAUGAUUCAAGAUUUGUGACUUCCGAAAGGAGAAUUGACGUUGAUUGUUGCAAAUAGCUCGUGACUUGUGUCUAUAUUUCAUCUUGUGUCUAUGAAAUGCAAAUAGCCCAUGAAUUUUGUUUAAAAUAUCUCACGUCGUUCAUUUACGAGAUUUUAAUGGGCCUAAUAUUUAUUUAAUUUCCCUUCAACUAUUUGUUCAAAUUUUUGGGUUGGACUUCCUCAUGCGUGCGUGAUGGCGUUAUUGCACGAGUAUAUUGCGUUAUCUACUCAUCACCAAUACAUCGCAAGAUUCAUCGUGACAGGAGCUUUUGCUCAUGGGGCUAUGAAAAAGUUAAGUGCUAAAAAAUAUCAACUCUAUAUUUUUGAUGAUAUACUAAACAAUUUGAAAGACUAUGAUUGGCCUUAGUAAGUAAGUCACAUUUUACAUUUUCACGUUAUUUGGCACACAAAAUGUCGAUAUAAUUAGUAUUAAUUCAGGGGCCGUAAUUGUAAUUGGCUCAAAGGUGAGUGCAUCUUCAUGAGUAAUACCGGCAAACUCCUUUUGAGAUUAUCCUUCCUAGGGCAUGUUCUCCUACUUAGAUAACCUGAUAAUUUUCCUCUUUUUUCGAAUAGUAUAAUUUAAUUUCCCUUUAUUAAUUUCCUCUCUCUAGAUUAGUGCAUCUCUCUACUCGUGCGUUCGUUCCUGGUGAAAUAAGGGGAUUAAAUUAAUUUUGUCGGCUAACUGUCAACAUCAAUUAAGCUUUCUCUCUCUCUCUUCAUAAAUACUAAUACACACAUCUCUUACUGUGUAUUUUUAUCAAUAAUUUCUUUUCAUUAUUUAAUAAUUCAAAUAUUUUAUAAACAAAGACUUGAAUUAAAAUUUGUAAAAAUUUGUAAAUACCAAAUGUUCCCACACGCAUAACGUGUGUAUCGGGUGAUAAUAAAAAGAGGAAGAUCCCCAUUGGAGAAAAGAGGUCCAGAUAUAUUAAUACGGUUUCAUUCUCUAGGAUCAAUUAUUUUCUUGGGAAGGUAGUUCGCGAUUUUCGAAUUGUCUUUGAGUUGACCGGGUCUUAAGCGACUUUUUUUUCUUAUGACUCUCGCCUGCAUUUGGACUCUUAUCUCCAUUUUCGUUUUCUUUUGUUCUUUUACCAAACCCUAACCAUAAUGCUCCUUUUCUUUUUUGUCCCUUUGUUCUCGCCCUUUUCUUUCGUACAACUCGCUCUUCUUUUCCAGCUGUUCUUUUUUUCUUUUCUUUUUUUCGGUUCUCUGCCCAAACCCUUAAUGAAGACUAAUUGGUGUACGAUGAUAUUGAGCGCCAUCGUCGACCGAUCAAGUUCGCUAAACUCAAGUCAUCAACGGACUGACUAUCCUUGUUUGAACAGGAGCUUCCACCAGCGUGGCAGGAAAAUGAAAGCAAAAACUCAAGCAAGAACUCAUUGAUUUUCUAAGAUUUGGUCAUAAGUAUCGAUGAAAAGAAACUUUAAUACUGCUGCUCCGAGAAUGGAAGCACUCCCAACAAGAAAACCCAAGUGAUCGAAUUCAAUUCACGGCGGAUGAUGCGAGUUUAACAGUCAUUCUCUACGACAAUCACAAUAGCGAUGCAGUAAUUUUGAACUCCCCAGUGAGAUGUCUCUUGAUGCGGCAGAGGAAUCCGAUCUAUUACUUUUUUAUAUCAUCACUAAAAUUUUGUUACAUAAUUUAAUUUACAAUUGUAUCAUCUACAUGAAAAUUUGAAAUACGAUCUAACUAAACGGAAUAAAUCGAAUCUCACUAAAUCGAAAUGUUAAACAGAAAAUAGAAUGCCCAGAUGAGAAUCUGACUUGACAGUCUAGAAAAAAACUGGAAUUCUUUCUGAUAAAUCUUUAAGUUCUAACUAAAACAUGUACUGUGUUUCUAGCUGAUGUCUACUUCUGUUUUCCUUUCUUGCCGACUAGCUCUAUACGUAAGGACCGGGUCGUGAUGGUGUGAAUGCUUCGCCGGGGAGUCUCGACUAAAAGCAGCCUCCCUCCGACCGGGAUUCUCCUGCUUUUCACCUUUUGCUUUUCACACUAAAUCUUUGCUGAAGAUAUGGUCAUUCAUCGUGAGGGUGUGCUGCAAUUUCUCCGCUGCCGUGUCCUUCUUGACCACGCUCUUCUCCUCAUCAGAGCAAUCUCCACCGAAGCCCACCGACAGUUCCACUUGCGCUCUUCUUUUAUUUCAAGUCUUUUUCAACUUUCUCUGCUUUCGGUUCCGCAUGGCCCGACCAUGUCCCCUCGUCCUUGUCUCGGUGUUCAGUUAGUCGACACGUUUCCACCGUAUCGUGUCUCACGAGAAUUUGCUCUCCAUUUUUGCAGAAUUUCAGCUCUUCCCUUUCUGUUCCUUUUUUGUGUUUUCACACUUCUAUUUCCCUUCCUUCGCACUCGCACGAAUGCCGUGUCGAAAGUGAACUCAAGUUGACCAUUUCGGUUCACAAAAAUUCGCAAUUUUAUUGGAAACGGUCUGUAAUUUUAUAUGCGAAAGAAUGCAAUAGAGAUUGAGAAUGCGAGAUUACAAAUGCUUUUUUCUUAAUAAGGGGUCAAAUUAUCAGUGAAUUUGAUUGCUGAAUUUCAUGAGAAUGCGGAUAGGACCUUUAGGUGAAAAUCAGUGUCAACAAUAAUUUUCCUCAUAAGUUAGUAAGUUGUUAUUUUCUCUUUAAAUCAUCCCUUCAUUGAUUUUUUUUUUCUUUUUGUCUAAAGAUCCAAACUGGAUGCGAAAUUGAUCUCGUAAAUUAAUUAGUGUAUGUAAAAAAAGAAAAGAAAAGAAAAGAAGAAGAUGAUGUUUUUAUAAUAACUAUAAUAAAUUUGCAUGGAGCACUCCUAUUUUAAUCAAGCUUGCUUUGUUUGAUUAAACUAAACCAGGGUCAUCAAGAAAAACAGCUCUAGUGCGAACGUCCCGAUCGGCUGGAUUCAAUGUUGAUUUAUUUAAAGUAAAGCGAGUUUAAUGUCGCCGUCGCGAUCGUGACCAACUUCGAUUGUGCGCCUUUUCUCUUUUGUCCCCUAGCUCUCCCACUUUUCUUAUGCCCAACUCUCUCUUCCUUUGUUGCUUUCUUUUUCGUUCUGCGCAAACCCUUAGUGAAGACUAAUUGGUGUUUAGUUUUCCAAAGCGGGGCAUUAUGGAGCACCAUCAUUGACCCAUCAGGUUCGCUAAGCUCAGUCAUCAAUUAACUAACUAUUCUUGAUUUGAUUGAACAGAAGCUGCACCAACGUGGCAGGAAAAAGAUAAAAUCAGGCGAGAACACAUUAAUUUUCUAAGACUUGGUCAUAAGUAUUGAUGAAAAGAAACUUUAGUACCGCUGCCCUGAAAAUAGAAGCACUCCCAACGAGUGAAUCCGAGUGACAAUUCAAUUAUUUGACGAAAUCAACUCAAUGACGUAAGUUCAAUAGUUACUCUUUACGGUAAUUACGAUAGUCAUGCUACAAUUUUGAGCAUUGCAAUGAGAUGUUUCAUGAUGUAACAAAAGAAGCCAAUUUAGUCGUGCAAAGAGGUGGCAUUACGACCACAACAUCAGCAAUGAUUGGGGCAGCAAUGACACAUCAAUGAGGCCUAAUCUUAGUGGACUUUUUUUUUUCCCUUUUUACGGAUAAAAUAUGAAUUAGAUAAUUGAUCUCUUAAUAAUAAAUAGAUAAUAGGAAAUAUGAUUCUCCAAUUUCUUUUUGAAUUCACCAUAUGGCAUUUUUUUUGCUAUUUUUUUCAUUUACUAAUUCAAUUCUAUUACUUUUUUAUAUAGUCACAUAAGUUUUAUUACAUAAUUUAUUUUACCAUUGUAUCAUUUACAUGGAAAUUCGAAAUACGAUCUAACUAAAUGGAAUAAAUAGAAUCUCGCUAAAUCGAAAUGUUAAACAGAAAAUGGAAUGGCCAGAUUAGAAUCUGACUUGACAUUCUAGAAAAUACAGGAAUUCAUUCUAAUAAUCUUUAACUAGUAACUGAAACAUGUAGUGUGUUUCUAGCUGAUAUCUCGUUCUGUUUUCCUUUCUGUUCCACUAGCUCUACACGCCACGGCCGGGUCGUGACGGUGUGAAUGCUUAGUCGGAGUCUCGACUAAAAGCCUUCCUUCGGCCGGGAUUCUCCUGCUUUUCACACUGGAUCGUUGCUGGAGAUACGGUCAUUCGUCAUGAGGGAGUGCUGCAAUUUCUCCACUACUGUGUCCUUUUCGACCCCAUUAUUGCCCUCAUCAAAGCAAUCCACCGAAGCCCGCCGAAAGUUCCACUUGCGCUCUUCAUUUAUUUUGCGUCUUUUUCGACUUUCUCUGCUUUCGGUUACGCAUGGCUCGACCAUGUCCCCUCGUCCUCAUCUUCGCGUUCAGUUAGUCAACACGUUUCCACCGUAUCGGGUCCCACCAGAAUUUGCUCUCCAUUUUUGCAGAAUUUCAGCUUUCUCUUUCUGUUCCUUCGUGUGUUUUCACACUGCUAUUUCCCUUCCUUCGCACGCGCAGAAAUGCCGUGUUGAAAGUGGCCUCGAGUCGACCAUCUCGGUGAACCGGAAGUAGGGAGCGGGAAGGACCUAGAAUUCCCGUUUAAAUUUACCUCGAAAAUUUCAGGGCUGGGUCGUGUAACAGGUCGGUUCGCAAGAAUUCACAAUGAAAGUUUUCACAAUUUUAAAUGCGAAGGAAUGUAAUAGGGAUCAAGAAUGCGGGAUUACAAAUGUAUUUCUUUUUAUAGGAGAUCAAGGUAUCACUGAAUUUGAUUGCUGAAUCUCAUCAGAAUGUGGAUAAGACCUUUCCGCGAAAAUCUAAAUGUCAACGGUAAUUUUCCUCAAAAGUUAGUAAGUUAUUAUUUCCCUUUAAAUCAUCCCUUCGUUGAAAUUAUUUUCUUUUUAUCUAAAGAUCCAAACUAUAUAUACCAGACUUAUCUCGUAAAUUAAUUAGUGCAUGUAAAAUUCCAAGUUUGAUUUUAGAUUUAUGCGAUGUAAAUAAGCAGCACUACUCCCAAGGUUUUCCUAAUUAAUGUAAUGCAAAUCAUUUCUAGAGGAAUAAAAGAGCAAAUGCUAGACAUAAUAAAAUUGAAUAUUAUAUGCGCGCGCCCGCAUAUUUAUAUAUAAAGAUGGAUGGAGUAUGAAGAGGAAAAUAGUGUGGUGGCCUUCUUAGGUAAGUUUUGAUUUUAAUUUUUGAGAGUUCGGCAAAAAAAGUGAAUCACAUUUUAAUGCUCAACAAUACUUUUCCACCUCAUUUGGUACACUGAUUUUUUAAAAUCUUUAUAUAAUUAGUACUAUUUUGCCCCCCACCCAAAAAAAAAAAAAAAAAAAAAACCCAAUAGUAUCUUGGGAGCACUUUCGUGUGAGUUUCCUCACUGCCGAACGCGUUUUCUUGAGCAGGGCCGUCCACUCCUUUUGAUGACAAGACAACAACAUGGGAAACAAUUACCCUACACUACUCUUGACGCUCCUCUGGAUCGAUGCUUAACGUGUAAGGGCUGCUUGUGAUUCUCCUUGCAAAGGUAUGUUCUCCUUCUUUGAUAACCAAUUUUCCUCUUUUUUUUCGAUAAGUAUGAUAUUAAUUUACUCUGUGUAGAUCUAGUGUAUCUCUCUAUUUGUGCUUUUGUUCCCAGUAAAAUAAGGAGAGAGAUCUCUGUACUUCAGGCGUGCACAACUCAGGCGGUUUGGUUCUGUUAGGAGGAUUCUACGGUUUUGCAACGAUUUCAAAUAUACCUGGUCAGCUAGCUUUUAACAUAACUUAAGAAUCCUUUAUUUUUCUAUAUGCAUUAUUUUUUUAAAUUGAUCGUCUGUUUUUAACUGUUCUAUGCUCUUGCUUGGCAUUGUCUCUGUUUUGUAAGAAUCAAAUAAAGAAUCUCCGACUGAGCAUCCUUAUUUAACUGGAUUACUUCUUGUAGGAUAUUGGUAGCGGCAAUGCCUAGAGAAAAGGAUCCAUUUUGGAAGUACGCGACGUUGCUGAAUGAAAAUAAUAGCAAGUGGAGGUGUAACUUGUGCGGACAGAAUUAUAGUGGACGUGCUACAAGGAUCAAGGCUCACUUGGCUGGAUUGACCCGCUUUGGUAUUAAAGGAUGCGAGAGAGUCGAUGCUAAUGUUAGAGCAGAAGCCAAGGACGCACUUGAGCCUAAAAAAGUGACGGACUCGAGCGACCAAGGUGUAUCUGACGAGAGGAUACCAGGAAAUGUUAAAGCAGCUCCGACCAGCACAACUCAUCCACCAAAUGCGGAGGGAGGAAACAAUUUACAACUUCCACAAGGUAUGCAUUUCCAAAUUACCGCAGAAAAUGGCUGUUUAGUAAAGUGAAUUUUUUUGAUCUAAUCUUAAAUAUGGUUUGAGGUUUGCUUUAGUCUUUUAGGGUCUGCAUGACAAACUUCCCCAGCCCAAGAAUUUCUAUUCUUCUCUUCCCCAGAACCAAAAAAGAAUAGAAACCCGCAUGAUAAUGGCAAGUUAAUUUUUUGUUCCCGGGAACAAAAUGUUAGCCCGGAAAUGGUUUUGGAAUAGAAAUGAGAAGUAAAAAAAAGUUGCUUCUUGUUCCCGGGAACAAGUUUAAGAAAUAAGUUAAUUUUUUUUUCUUUUAUUCUUCUAUUGUUGACUGCCAUUGACCGCUGUUGACCGUUGCCGCCGCCGCCGGUCGCCUCCGCCGGUCGCCGCCGGUCGCCGCCGGACGCCGCUGGUCGCCGGAGGCUGAUCGACCUCNNNNNNNNNNNNNNNNNNNNNNNNNNNNNNNNNNNNNNNNNNNNNNNNNNNNNNNNNNNNNNNNNNNNNNNNNNNNNNNNNNNNNNNNNNNNNNNNNNNNUGUUUUUUACCAAACGCGAUUCAAACGCAUUUCUAUUCUUUUUCUAUUUCUAGAUGUGUAGUUAUCAAACGGGUUUUUUUACAUAGAAAUUGUUCCCCAGAAUAGAAAUAGAAAAGAACUAUUUCUGAAAAGAAAUUGUUCCCCAGCCAAGAAAUGUUCUCAUGCGCACCCUUACUGUCUAAACAUCCAUUUCAAGGCAUGUCAAAGCAAUCAGUUUCCCUGCGCCCUAAAUUUCAAUAUGUUACUGAAGACAGCUAUAUAAAUCCGACUAAUGCUGUUGUAUAUCUCAAUCCAUCACUAGAAAAUGGGCAGGAGAUGAGGGCGGCCAACGUCGCAAACCCCCCAUUCGAUGGUGCAACAAGUUACCAUAGAGCACCUCCCACGCCAAAUUCACCCUUCACUGUUGAAGAUUUUACUUCUUUGAUGGAGUCUCUUGACGCUGAGACAUCAAAUGCACAACAGAAUCCAGGCGCGUUAUUGCUAUCAUCAAACUAUCAGCUCCUUGAUAAUACUUUUCAGAAUGAGUUACAGGGGCCCCUUUUGCCUGGUCCCAUUGCAUCGGAUACUCAACUCAGUAACAUGGCCACAACCAAAACUUCCCAGCAUUCUAGUCAACCACUUCAAAGCGACAGGGAGUGUGGAUACGGCACCGGUCUAGAGCCACCUAUUCCAUCACUACCUUCCACUGGACCUCUUCUUGUCGAGUCAGUUGACCCCCUGCAGAUUCCAGAGGACAUCACAAAUACAAUAGGCCCAUGGACAUCAGAAGGUAUGAAAUUAUCUAUGUAUGUUAAAUGAGUAUCGUUAACUAAGUGCCCAUUCCACUUGUUAAGUAUAUUUGAUAAGAAACUUUAUUUUUAUUUUUAAUGCAUUGAUUAUACAUAAUACAAGAGAGACGGUGCAUUGGGAAUUACAACAUUUCCUUAAUUGGGUUUUUAACAUAAUAACAGUGCAUGGAAUGUGUUGCAAGUGUCACCGGACCAACUGGAUCCGGUAAACUAACUAUAAUCGGCAUUCUCCCAUGUUCCAAUUAACCAUACCCUAUUUUGAUUAAUAACACGCAGGUGAAGGCACAUCAUGUUCAAUGAUGGCUUUAGCGGAAGAAGUACGGUCUCCUUUUAACUUGCCAUGGCAACCACAGUGUUCCAUUCAAUCUCAAAUGCCAAUGAAUUUCCAGCAGAUUCCAGCAGGGGUAUCGUCAUUCCAGUAUAAUCAAUUACCUGCUACAGGUAAUUCACAUUGCUUGCAGGGUAGGAAUCAGCACUCUCAAUUGCAAACUCCAAUGGACAUAGAUGCCUCAAUUGCAUCACGGCAUACAAGUGACUCUCACAUUAUUGAGGCAACAACGGUUGAUUCGCAAGUUCCAGAGGCGGCAACAAAUGCAACAGGCCCAUUGUCAUCACAAGGUGCGUUUGGAUUAAUCUUCAUUGUUACUAUAUGGUUCCACUAGAUUCUUAAAUAUCCCCAAAUUAUUUUAUCGAAAUCUAACAUAUUUUUUUAUAAAUUAGAUAUGAACAGGGGUUCUCCAGUCAUGGACGUACGGAGCAUCUAUGCCAACGAUGAAGAGAUAAGAAACCUGAAAAGAAAAGUGGAAGAACUCGACGACAAAGAAGCUGUCAUAAAGGAGCAGAUGGAGAUAGAGUCUGCUACUUCCUCAGUUCGGAAGAAGCCGAGGAUAUUGGUUGAUAGAUGGCUAAAAGAGACAGAAAGAGCAAGAAAUAAUUUCCAAAUAAUUGGUCAAGCCAAUGCGGAAACUUUGCCACCAAAGGAACAGGUGGAGACAUUGACGAGAGAAGUGGAAGAACUCAUAGGAAAAACGCUUCCACAAACACUACUCAUAGAGGAGAGAGAUGCCAAAGGAGUCAAAUUUUUUGAACGAAAGCUAACAGGUGAAGCGAUUCAUAGGAAUAUUGAGUUGAUUUGGGAUCGUCUGAAGGAGAAUCGUGUAUGCAAAUUGGGUAUUUAUGGAAUGGGUGGUGUUGGGAAGACAACUAUUAUGAUGCACAUACAUAAUAGACUUCUCAAUGAUGCAACCUUCGAUGGUGUGUUUUUUAUCACUGUGUCUCAAGAUUUCAGCAUUAAGAAGCUGCAGAGUGAUAUUUGGAAGGAUCUAAAAUU
rnacentral:lncRNA from 1 species